GUUUGAGGGUCCUCUAAUUUAAAGCCAUGUGUGAUCAAGGACCUCUCAACCACUCUCAUGUGUGUCUCUAAAAAUUCCAUCGGAUAUUGUUUGCUUUGGCUGGCUAACAGUAACUAAAACAAUAGAAAUUAUCCUAAUAAGUGUGUGCAUUUAACACCGUGCAAUGAAGACAUAAAUGUGUUCCUACUUACAAUGUACCAGAGUAGAUUCUUGUGUGUGCCAUUUAGAUAAAACUAUUAGCAAACCAUGAUAAGUGUGUGCAGCAUCAAAAUAAUUUUGUGCGCAUACAUGAUAGCUAUGUGAUGCAUGGAGUUAAUUGUGUGUUGGCAAAUAAAAGAGGUGUGCAAAUGGAAAUAAAUGUAUGCCACAUGAUUAUAAGUAUGUGUUACCAUGAAAUAAGAAUGUGCAGAGACAUGAUAGGUGUUGGAUGGAGUUAACUGUGUGCAAGCACAUAAUAGGUGUGUGCUAAAUAGAAAUAAAUGUAUGCCAUACGAAUAUAAGUGUGUGCUACAAAGAGAUAAGAAUGUGUGGAAACAUGAUAGGUGUGUGCUGGAUGAACUUAACUGUAUGCCAACACAUAACAAAUGUAUGCCAAUGGAAAUAAAUAUGAGCCACAUGAAUAUAAGCGUGUGCUACAUAGAAAUAAGAAUGUGUACCGAAAUGAUAAGCGUAUGCUGAGUAGACUUAACUAUGUGCCAGCACAUAACAGGUGUGUGCCAAGUGGAAAUAAAUGUGCCCAACAUGAUAAGUGUGAAGUAUGCAAAGACUUCUCCUCUCUCCUGCACACACUCUUGCAAUCUCUCAUCUUCUCGCUUCUCUAUCGGAGCCUGCCCCUAUCGCCUUCCUCAUAAGAGAAGUGCAACUCCUCCUCCCUAGGCUCUACUUCUUGAUCACCUGAUAUGGACAAAAAAUUAAGUUACGCAUUAGGUUAAAAUAGUGUUGAUGUUAUAUACAAAUGAACACCUAUACCUAAAAUCUUUGCUCCAAUGUAGGAGAUGUGGAUACAUGAAUGGUGGUCAGUGGCUUCUCAGAAGGCUAUUAGCAUGCUCAAUAGCCCAUGCCUGCCAAAAAUGAAUGUAAUCAUUGCAUUUGAAGUCAAUACAUCUCUUAAUAAUGAAAUUACAAACAAACAUAAAGAUGUUUACCACUAAAACAACCAUGCAACCAUUCAUAUGCCUAGUAGAUCUCUUGCCAGUCAUGUUCCUUCUCCUUACACUCUCGGCUAGAUUAGGUAUUCACUGGUGAAGAAAAACAAAAAUUGCAAGACCCCAACUAUAUGAUCUUAAGCAGUCUAAAUCAUCAAGAUGUGAACAUAAUACCUUAGAAACAUAAUGUAGAAAAUGAUAGUGCAACUGAAGUCACACUAGCCCAAGACUGCCAACCUCAAUGUGAAAAAAAUAAGCAAGCUACACACAGAGGAUUCCAAAGAUGAAUAAGAGUGAACAAUUAAUUAAAGCAACUCAAUACAAUGAUGGAGAACAAUCAACUUGUGGUUGUAUUCCUAAAUACAAUUGAUAGGGAAGUAUUUUACAGACUUCAUGGAGACUUCUAGUGCAUGCAUUCACAUUAAUUGCAUGCAAUUAAGACUGCAUAGAAAAAUGAACAGACAUUAUAGGAAGAUGGAUAAGUACAUGAAUAUAUUAAUGAUCCUUGCAUGAAUCUAGAUUAAUAUGUAUCUAGACUAUUCCAAACAAUCAACUUUACUAAUUUCAACACUCCCCCUUAAAGUGAUUUUUUGGAAAUGAGUCUGAGUUUAGUAUGGAGUGACUCGAACUAUCUUCUAGAGAGUGACUAGGUGAAAUUAUUGGCAACAUUCUCUUGAAUUUGCACCUCCAAAGCGCUAAUAGUGCCAUCAAGAACCUUUUCGCAAAUGAAGUGAUGCUCUAGCUCAAUAUGAUUUGUUCUAGCAUGACAUACUAGGUUUGUUGAAAGCUUUAUAGCACUUUGAUUGUCACCAAGAAGUAUAGUUGGCUUGUGGAUAGGUGAAUGGAUAUCUUCAACAAGUCUUCAAAGCCAAACACAUUCUUGAGCAACAAGAGCAGCAGCUUUAUAUUCUGCUUCUGUGGUUGACAAAGAAAUUGAAUCUUGCUUUUUACUACACCAAAAAAUACUUGUAUCACUAUAAAAGAAAAUAUAGCCAGAUGUAGAUCUUUGAUCAUCCAAGGCACCUCCCAAAUCAGCAUCCGUGUAGCCAAACAAAGAAAGAUUAGCUCCCCUUUUGUAGAAUAAUUCCGUAUCAAGUAAAGAACUUACAUACUUCAAGACUUUCUUUGCUGCUUCCAAAUGUGGCUUUCGUGGUGCUUGCAUAAACAUGCUAAUCAGCCCAACAGAGAAAGCAAUAUCCGGCCUUGUUAUGGUCAACUAAAAAAGACUAUCAAAAAGUGUACGAUAAGGCCGAAGAUCAGCCAAUCAAAAGGGAACCUUCUUCACAUUUCAAUUUCACAUUCAUAUUAAGUGGAGUGUAACACUUUCGUUGUUUUAAUCCAAAUCUGUCAACAAGCCUCUCUGCAGUACUUUUUUGAGUUACAAAAAAAAUUCAUUUAUGGGUUUUUCCACCUCUAAGCGAAGAAAAUGACUUAGUUCUCCCAAUUUCUUCAUAUCAAAUCAAAUACAAAGUUCUUCUUGAAGCUUCGCAACUUUUCCUUCAUCAUUGCAUGUUAUUAUCAUAUCAUCUACGUACAAAAGAAUAAUCACAUGUAAUCCUUCAUGCUUCUUGAUAAACAAACUUGGAUCUAAAUUAGAAGUAACAUAGCCACAAAAUUGCAAAUAUUGAGCAAUGUUACCGUACCGAGCUCUUGGAGCUUGUUUUACCCCAUAAAGGACUUUCUUGAGCUUACACACAAAAAUUGAAUGAGUGCUAGAAAUAUAACCAAGUUCACCUUCUAUAGUCUUUUUGAACUCCAAAAAUCUGGUAAAAGCUUCUAACUUAUGCUUUACAAAAAAAACCCAUGUCAAUCUUGUAAAAUCAUCAACAAAAAUUAACGUGUAAUGAAAUUUAGAAUAAGAGAGAGUUCUAGUUGGUCCCAUUAAGUCACUUUGAAUACAUUCUAGUGGAGCCUUACACCUUGAGAGAGAUUUGUUAAAUGGGAGAUGAUGUGCCUUUCUAUAUUAACAACCUUCACAAAUUUCUCCAUUACCAAAAUUAUUUAAAUUUGGAAGCCCUAAUACCAAGUUCUUUUGCACCAUAACUCUUAACUUAUUCAUGUUAAGAUGCCCAAGACUAACAUGCCAUAUGAAUGAUUACCAUUGCUGCUCAUCUUCUCAAUAUAAGAUGUAGAAGUAGACAAAACAAAUAAAUCAUCAACUCUCUUAUCGGUGUAGAUGACAUUGGCCUUCAACACUUUAAUAUUUUGGAGCAACUUCACGUCAUGUGGACCAAACAAUACAUAGUUACCAGAAUCUACUACAUUAUCCAUUGAAAAGACGUUUUUCUUCGUACCGAGACAUGAAACACAUUGUUAACUAUGAUAGAAUCAUCUUUUUUUGCCAUUGAUAACAACGUCGCUUUUUUUCUCGACAGAAUGGAUAGUAUUGUCGGCUGUUACAAUCACAUCUUUCCCUUCAUAAUGACGAAAACUUGAAAACUUUGAGUCAUCUCCAAUUAAAUGAUGGCCACAAGCAGAAUCCACGAUCCAACCAUUUUAAAAUUAAUUGAAUUCAUAGAAUCAAUUGUGGUUGUCUUGGCCAUGAAGCGCUUUCCCCAAUCUUCUUCAUUUAGCUAAUUAUCAUGCUUUAAAGUAUCAUCCAUGUUGCUUUCUUUCAACUUGACACGACAAUUUCUUCUUAUAUGCCCAAGUUUACCAACUGAUAACACUUAAAGGUUUUCUUGUUAUCUUUAUUUGAAGAAUUUGUAGCAACACUAUUCAUGCCUGAAUCAUUCUUCUUCUCUUUUUCUUUAAAAUUCUUCUUUCUAGUGAGCAAAGCGCUUCCUUCUUCAUGUUUUAUUGAAACACCGGUCAUUUGUUCUGCCAAGGAUUUUUGUGAGGAUAAGAGAUUGUCAAACUCUUCCAAAGAUGGUUGUUGAGCCCAUCCUUGGAUUGAUGUAACAUAAGGAAUAUAUUCUAGUUUCAAGCCACAAACAAUAUUUUACUUCAACCAUGCUUCAGAAAUUGGUUCCUCCAUAUCCAAAAAAGAAAUUUCUGAACACAGAUUUUUAAUUUUUAGAAAGAAUUAAGCAAUUGACAGAUCACCUUGUAUUGUAUUUGCUAACUCGUUCUCUAACAUUUGCAGCCAACCUUAUCUUUUUUGUUGAACAAUUUGUCCAGGGUCUACCAUAUUUCACUUGCCAAAUUACACCGUAUAAUAUGAUCAAAUUAAUAUGAGAAAUACAUCGCUUCAAGACAAAUUCUGCUAUAGUAUUUUUUUUGCUUCCAUUGCCUAAGAUCUUCAGCAUUUUCUACUGUAUCAACUCCAUCGACAACCUUCCAUAAGUCUUCAUCAACAAGAUCAGACACCAUACAUGUUCUCUAUACUCCAUAAUUAGACUAGUUUAGCAAUUCCACACCAAGUCCACCAAUACAACCACUCAAAUUAUCUUGGAGCACCAGCUGAUUUUCUUCAUCAAGGGAUCUUGUCACAUACCAGCUACCACCUUUGUAGCUCUGAUACCAUGUAGGAAAUACUAAUACAACCGAAGUCACACUAGCCCAAGACCACCAACAAUAAUGUGAAGAAAAAAAACAACCUACACAUAGAGGACUCCAAAGAUGAAUAAGAGUGAUAAUUAAUUAAAGCAACUCAAUACAAUAAUGGAGAACAAUUAACUUGUAGUUGUGUUCCCAAAUACAACUGAUAGAGAAGUAUUUUAUAAAAUUUAUGGAGACUUCUAGUGCAUGUAUUUACAUUAAUUGCAUGUAAUUAAGACUGCAUAGGAAAAUAAACAGACAUUAUAGGAAGGUGUAAAGAUGGAUAAGUACAUGAAUAUAUUAAUGAUCCUUGCAUGAAUCUAGAUUAAUAUGUAUCUAGACUAUUCCAAACAAUCAACUUUACUAAUUUCAACAUAGUAGUGCACGGUUGGGAAGAGGAUUGUCACAAAAAUAUAUAGAACCCAUAAUUUUGUGAAAUCCUCUAUAUCUUCUUGUCCACUCUUUCCAAUAAGAUAUUUAAAUUUAUUCUUUACUGUAUCCAUGUCAGUCUUUUCGUGAUCACAACUAAGUGAUGAGGUUAGACUUAAUCCUCCCCACCCUCUACAAUUCGACUUCAUCUCUUGUGGCCCUCAAACCAAGAAUGAGGGCAAAAUCAGUCCCUAUAAAAGGCACCAAUAUCUUGCCAAACCAAAAUCCUCCUUAUCAUCAUCCCAGAAGGAGAGCAAUGUAUCUAGAAUUGGCCUACUCUACUUGAUAUAUGGAAGAGCUAGCACAUGUCCAAAUGGAGUGCCGAUCACCCUUUUCUUCUAUUCCUAAUAUAUAGACUCAACAAGGGUCACGGUGAGAUGUAUGAAGUGGUUGAAGUGGCACCUUUCAUUGACCAUAUUCUUUGGUCCAAUAAAAGGUGUUUUAUCUCUCCUUGAAUUGGAGCACUCUUCACUUUUUCGAAUUUGAUGUUGCUCCAUUUUAGCCUUCCCAUCUUAGAUCUUUGCAUCAUGAAUUAGAUUCAAAUAAUACUUAUUAGUAAUAUCAUUGCAAAAUUAGAAACACAUAUUUGACUAAAUCAUCAUGUAUUAUUGAAUGUUCUUCAUAACUCUAAUAAAGGAAAUUCAACAGAAAUGAUAGUGAGAUAACCAUCAAUGAAAGAUGAUAAUGAUAUUUCCAUGAGAAAUAUGACCAAGGUACUAGCUCAAGCUCUCAAUCCAUUUUAUUUCCAAAUAUGAACCAUUCUUGCUAUGAAAAAGCAGAUGUCAACUGAAACUACCACAAAUGUCCAUUCUUCUCAAAGUACUAUCAAUCAAAUAUCAGCAAGUUUAAUUUAAUUGUUUCAGUAAUUACUGUCAAACUAAUACCAAAAGUGAAGAAAAUAGUAGAACUAACAUUAUUUAUUGUGCAUAACCUUCAAGUAAUGACAUAGUAUAUUAUAUAACAAUUUGGUGUUUGUCUAUAAUCAAAUUAAUUAUGCUUUAAUAUCGAACUAAAGAUAGAUGCAAAUUUGAUUCUGUAUGAUACAUGUGCUUAGUGGAUAAUAACAACAAUGCGAGUAAAAAUUGGAUUUGAAAGAUAUACAACUCACAUAGAAUAAGUAGAUAAGGGUGGAAUGAUCGAUUAAUCUAGCCGGUGAGAGAAGGGAGUCGAUGCAGGCUGUAGAGAUGAUGAACGCUCAUUCAUGCUAGAGACACAAUGGUACGCCCAUGCACGUAGAAGAGAGGGUGAGAUGGUGAGUGAAGAGAAAAAUACAAAGGAGUGAGAGAGUUGGGAGGCCGGAAUUUAGCACGUCGAUGCCACACAAAUAGGGCAUUCAUAGAUUUCAGCUGGACGGAGGAGUGGGGAAACCAGAAGGGUUGGGAAGAAAGGUUAGGAUCGGCCAUAGGAUUUUUUCCGAAGAACUUUUUUAUCCACUGAGGCGCAAGGUGUGAUAGAAGGGAGGAAAGCAAGUGGGUGCCAGUGAUGAAGACGGCGAGUCGCAGCUUGGACGAGUAGGGCAAGGUGGCGGAGUGAGAGGGAAGCACGGUGGAGUAUACGGAAGAUGCGGUUCGACAAAAUAGGGGUGCAAAAAAUUGGGAAGAAGGGUUUAGGGAUGAAAAAAUAUGGAGGGUAUUUUCGUCCUCCAGGGAUGUAUAGUUAAAAACCAAUUUGCAUGUGGACCGGAUGUUAUAAAACCAGUUCACAAAGGUUAACAAUUAAGGCAUGGUCCAAAGAUGGACUGGCCAUUAAUUUCCCCAAAAUCUUUGGCUUGAUGUUUGGAAAGUAGGAAUUUUCGAUUUCACAAAAGAACAAUCGCAUGUGACCUCAAAUGAAGCUCCUUGCAGCAAGUUCUCUCUUCUUAAUAUUCUGUUUGAUGAGGAACAUAUAUAUGCUGCAGAUAACUUUCAAGACCUCAAUCUAGACGCAGUUCCUCAUGGAAUAGAAUAUGCUAUAACAAUAAAUGAUGGACUUUUUUUUUUUUCCCCUUUUGUUGAUAAAAGGAGAAGCAAGAGCUCUACCAAUAGACAUAGAAAUGAACAUAAACAACUCAUUUAAGUGCAUUGCUACUGAUUGACACAGAACUGAUUAAUUUUUCAUGAUUCCCUGAUUAGCAGCCAAGAAUUUAACUAACAUUUGGAUGGCAUAUUUAUACACAUGGCCACCAAACUGCAAAGCACUGAUUGGCAGCAAAAAGUUUAAAUUAUACUUCUGCUGACAUAUUUAUAUGCAUGACUCAAAUGGCAGAACACUGAUUGUUUCCUGAUUCCUUGGUUAGCAGCAAAGAACAUAGUUUACUCUUCUGCUGACAUAUUCAUGUGCAUGACCAUCAAUUGGCAGAGCACUGGUUUUUCCAGUUCCUUCAUUAACAGCAAGAACUCUCUUCUGCUCACACAUUCAUUUUGAUUCGAGACUGAGAAGCGACUUCAAGUAUCUCAAGUUUCCAGAGAUAAAAUUUAGUAAGUUGUUCUACAACCCCCAGUGCUGAGGUAGCUACUUUGUUUCUUGGACAGUCAAUUUUCCUGCCAAAACCUUAAUGCAUGACAGGCUGAAUGUCCAUCAGCUCCACGAAGAUAAUUCUCUGAUAAAUCCCCCACAAGGUUCAUCCGGUACAAAGAUUAGCAGGAUUCUUGUAUGGGCAUAACCCCAAAUGUAGCAUAAUUUGGAUCUGCUGCCUCUUCAUUUUUGAAUCAAAAGCUAUUCUGAUGUAUUUAGGGGGAAUGAAACUCUAGCCUCUUCCAAUUUGUUCUUAAGAAAAUCAACCAAAUCACUCAUUCUAGGAUGCCAUAUAAGAAGAAGUCCUUCAUUUGAGCAGAAAAGGACUUCAACAUUCACUUUCAGUGACUUGCAGCAAUGAAAUCUCUUCUUGCUCCAACUCUAGCACGGAGUGGUGGCUCAUGUGCUCCAUCAAGUUUUCCAACAUCCUCCAAAUCUCUAGCCGCAAUGGGUGUGCUUGAUCGCCUGCAACAAAUGAGCUAACUUUACCAUUCACCUCGAUUACACUACAAGCAGGCGAUUUCUUAAUUCCCCGACUGCCUAUCAGCUUUCGAACUUUGCUUGCCUCCUCCCUCCUGUUGGCACUGAGAUAUAUGUUCGACAACUGGACGUACACACCCUCAUCAUCUCCAUUACCAUCCGUGAUCCUCUGGAGCUCUGCAACUGCUAGCUCUGCAAGCUCGACAUUUCCAAAAAUCCUACAACCAGUGAGCAAUGAUCCCCACACAGAAGCCCGUGGCCUCAUUGGCAUCCCAUGAAUAAGUCCCAAAGCAUCAUUUAACCGGCCUACCCUGCACAGCAUGUCAACAGCACAGCUGUAGUGCUCAUGCUCGGGCUUAACACCGUAGCAUGUUUCCAUUUCAGCCAGCAGCCGCAGGCCAUCCUCCACAAGCCCAGCAUGUGCACAGGCCGCAAGGGAACCAAGAAGAACGAUGCCAUCCGGGUGCACGCCGUCCUCCAGCAUCCGGCCCAAGCAGCAGAUCGCCUCCUUUGCUAGCCCGUGCACUGCAAACCCACCAAUCAUCGUAGCCCACAUGUGGGUGUUCUUCUCCGGCACAGCGUCGAACACCCUGACAGCUUCCUCGAUGCAACCGCACUUGGCAUACAUGCUCACGAGAGACGAUGCAAUGAAGGUGUCAUUCAAGAAAGAUGGGUCCUUCUUCUCAAUGUACCUAUGAAUCCAAACCCCCUCCCUGAAAGUGCCGGAAUGAGCACAAGCAGUGAGAGCCGUGGUGACAGUGAACUCGUCGGGCUCGAUCCCAGCGAGCAGCAUGUCCCGGAAGAGGCGCAGCGCAUCAGAGGGGAGGCCAUGGCGGAUGUACGCGUUCAUGAGGACGUCCCAGUGGACGGGGUCUCUCUGAGGGGUUUCGUCGAACAGCUUCCUGGCUUCGUCGGGGAGGCCGGCGUAGAGGCGCAGGAGGGCGGUCUGGACGUAGUGGUCAGCGGAGGCGAGCCCGUUCUUAUAGACCAUGGAGUGAAUUUGGGCGCCGGCGGGGAUGGAGGGGAUCGCAGCGCAGGCGGCGAGGGCGAAGGGGUAGGAGUGAUGGUCGGGGGAGGCGGAGGGGGAGCGGAGGAGAAGGCGGAAGAAGGCGAGGCCGCGGGCGGGGUCGGGGCCGCGGGAGUGGGCGCGGAUGAGGGCGUUGUAGGAGAAGGCGUUGAGAGGGGCCGGGGGGUGGCGAAGGAGAAGCGCGGCGUGGAAGAGGGCGGGAGGGCGGAGGGAGCAAGAGGCAAGGACGAGGCGGCCGAGGACGGAGGGGUGCCGGAGGGGACCGUGGGUGAGGAGGAAGGCGUGGGCGGCGCGGAGCUGCCGCUCGUCAGAGCAGCGCCGGAGGAGGGAGAAGCACCACUGCCAUGGCGGCGGGGCGCCUACCAUCUGUUUGGUCGGGUCUGCGUCCGGGUCCCAUAAGACCAAACAGCCGUGGAAGGCGGUCCGGUUUGCCUUUUUCCUAUUUUCGACGAGUAAAUGGCUAAAUACUACGAGCCGUUGGAUGCACUUCAACCCGUGUAAUUUUUAUAGGGUGUACACUCAUGCUCUUUUUGGACUUGGAUGAUGGGAGUUCAACAUUAAUAUUGUUCACCAGCCAUGGAGGCAGUGCCGGCCCGAGCGUUAGGCGACCGAGGCGGUCGCCUAAGGCCUCAGGCCAAUGGAGGGCCUCCGGGAGGCGUGACCAAAAGGAAGCAAAGGCCCCAUGUGAAAACAGGAACAGGAGCUUCCCCCUUGAUGGAAGGCUACGAGUCUUCCCCAGUGCCGGCCCGAGCGUUAGGCGACCGAGGCGGUCGCCUNNNNNNNNNNNNNNNNNNNNNNNNNNNNNNNNNNNNNNNNNNNNNNNNNNNNNNNNNNNNNNNNNNNNNNNNNNNNNNNNNNNNNNNNNNNNNNNNNNNNNNNNNNNNNNNNNNNNNNNNNNNNNNNNNNNNNNNNNNNNNNNNNNNNNNNNNNNNNNNNNNNNNNNNNNNNNNNNNNNNNNNNNNNNNNNNNNNNNNNNNNNNNNNNNNNNNNNNNNNNNNNNNNNNNNNNNNNNNNNNNNNNNNNNNNNNNNNNNNNNNNNNNNNNNNNNNNNNNNNNNNNNNNNNNNNNNNNNNNNNNNNNNNNNNNNNNNNNNNNNNNNNNNNNNNNNNNNNNNNNNNNNNNNNNNNNNNNNNNNNNNNNNNNNNNNNNNNNNNNNNNNNNNNNNNNNNNNNNNNNNNNNNNNNNNNNNNNNNNNNNNNNNNNNNNNNNNNNNNNNNNNNNNNNNNNNNNNNNNNNNNNNNNNNNNNNNNNNNNNNNNNNNNNNNNNNNNNNNNNNNNNNNNNNNNNNNNNNNNNNNNNNNNNNNNNNNNNNNNNNNNNNNNNNNNNNNNNNNNNNNNNNNNNNNNNNNNNNNNNNUCUUUUCUUAUCCUGCUCUUGCUUGACAUGGUAAACAGUAUUGCCCAGCAUUAUCUCAAUUAUUUAAUCAGUUUUAUGGCCCGGCAAUUACAUUUCUGUGUUUCCAUUCAAAAAUUAUAUUAAACUGAAAAAACUUUUUGUCUACUUUUGUUAGAUUCAUGUAUCUUUGUUGAAAUAGUGUACUUGAUAGCUAUCUAUUUUCAUAUUAUUUUUUUAAAUAUUUUAUAUUUAUUAAAAAAAUUUAUUAUUAAAAAAAGGCCUCAUUCAUUGGAUUCGCCUUAGGCCCCCAAAUGUAUCGGGCCGCCCCUGCAUGGAGGCCAAUGUAAAUUGGCACCAAACAAAUUAAGAUUAUGCGGUGCGGGAGCUGUAAAUUGAUUUGAAAAUGGUUCGGGUGCGCUGGAGAUUGGACUUGAAAUGGACAUGUUGGGUUUGUCGAAUGCCAAGUUGGCAAAGCCUCGACUCAAUCCAUAAUUAUUAUAGUUCAAGUUUUGAAAUGAAUAUAUCAUCCCAGGAUUGUUGAGACUGAAGCUAGAAAAUGGAAUGACACACCGGGCUUGUUAGGACAAGACUUAGAAUAAAGGAUGGCACAUCAAGAAUAUUAGGGGUGGCAACAUGAUGGGUAUGAUGGGUUAGUAGGUUAUUAUCCAUAUGUACCCCACAAUAAGAAAUCACGUUCCCAUGCUUGCGCCAUACCUAUCUUGGGGAAGGGUUGGGUCGGAUAGAGUUAAACAAAAAUAGUAUGAAUUGUGCUACCUUUUAGGGUGGAGAAUUUAGUAAAAGGUUUAGGGUUAUAUCAAAUUAGGUCAUAUUCGAGGGGCCAUUACUUCGGCACCCGCCCCUAAUUUACCAAGAUUUUAUAAUCGAAACCCAUCCCCCACCGGCUCGAGUUGGGUUGGGUAAAACCAACCCUAUUAGGAUUGAGUCAAGUCGGAUAUCCGAUGGUAUAGCUUAAAUUGCCAUCUCUAAUCGAGGUUGUUGAGAAUGAAGCUUGGAAGCUAGAUGAUACCCAAAAUUAUCAAGAGAGAAGAUAAGAAAAGUAGAUACACCACAAGAUUGUCACCAGUCAAGCAAGAAAAUAGGUAGAAGAUAUCAUAGGAUUGCCGAAGGUACGAAUGGAUAUGGAUGAUAUAAUCAGUUUAGAAAAUUUAGGAGUUUGAUUAGUGCUCACCGACAAAACAUUGAAUGAUUGAGUACAAGAAACAGAUGCUGCUUGCUCAAAUGGAAUAGGCAUAGAGGAGCUAUUAUAUAAAGGCUUGCAAGAUCAUCCUCCAAGCCUCCCAAAUACAAUGAUGGGUAGCCAGCACUGGACUAUGUGCUGGUGAAGAAACCAGUUCAACACUGAUUGGAUCCAUGACUAGCCUCAGGCCAUGGCUGCAAGCCCAUAUCUAUGAUUAUGGGCAUUCAUAUGGAAGCUUGGACUACAUCUAAUGGUGGCCUAAUUUGAAAUGUACUCGAACGACAAUCUAACCUAACCAGAGGGUUAGCAUGAAGCCUGGGCAGCAAGGGUUGCAAGCUAUCAUUGUUAGAAUUUCUGGAUGAUUAUAUACUGGAAAAACACUAAGAUGGACCAUAGCCCAAAACUUUAUGAAUCACAACUUUAUUUGGGCUUUACCAGUCAAUCUAUCUGAAUCACUUUCAACUCAUUUUUCGCAAAUAGUAUAAAACACGCAUCUAAUGGCAACCCACAUUUUAAAUAAAAUCUUACAUUCUCCCACUUGGGCAAUAUUGAUUGUUGGGGUUUUAAAAAAAGUGUUAUACUUAUUUUAGGAAAAUGACUCUCAGGUUGAACAACUUUGUGGCCACAUAAACAUGAUUCAGAAGAGAACAUCUCAGUACAGGACCCGAUCUAAUAAAAAUAUCAAUAGAGAACUAUGGCGGUAAUUGUGUUAUUCAUCAGCACAAGACCUUCCAUAAUUACAAAUAUCAAUACUCCAUUGACAUGGAUCCCUGAAUGUGGUAAAGUGUAGUGUGACAUUUGUGCACAAGUGAUCCACAACUAUAUAACAUGCCAAUGCCACAUCCACUGGAAGAUCUCAACACACUUCCACUAGAAGAGCUUCUUGGAUCCCUAAUGACAUACAAGAAGUGAGGAUGAGACCUAAAGAAAGAAAGCUAUAGCCUUAAAGGCCACUGCUAAAAAAAGAAGGCUAUUUAAAAUAUAGCAUGCUGUAUUUAUAGCUUCAGCCCAAAAAUAUCUAGGAAGAUUGCCUUCACAUAGCAUGGUACGAGCCAUUUCUUCUAAUGUCUUAUUCUUUCUUUCUACUAUCCUAUUUUGUUGAGGUAUCCUAGGUGCUGAAAAAUUGUAGUUUAUCCCAUUUUUAUUGCAAAAGUUUUCAAAGUAAUGAUUUUCAAAUUUAGUGCCAUGAUCACUUCUAAUUGAGAUAUUAGUUGUGUCUUUCUCAUUUAGAAUUUUCUUAUAGAAUUUUUGCAAUGCUGAAAAAGUUUCAACCUUGUGUGCCAAAAACAGUACCCAUGUGAAUCUAGAAAAAUCAUCUACUAUUACAAGACUAUAUUUCUUUCCUCUUAGACUAGUAGUUCUAGUAGGUCCAAAAGAUCCAUAUGAAGUAAUUCUAGUGACCUAGAAGUUGAAAUAGUAUUUUUAGAUUUAAAAGAAUUUCUUAUUUGUUUACCUAAUUGACAUGCUUUACAUAUUCUAUCUUUUUCAAAAUUUAACUUAGGAAUUCGUUUAACUAUUUUCUUUUUGAUUAACUUAGAUAUUAGAUCUAUACUUGUAUGACCUAAUCUACGAUGCCAUAGCCAACUAGCUUCAUUAACUUUAACAUCCGUGGCAACUAGACAAUGACUACUCAUAGUAAGAUCAUCUAGAUUUAUCAUGUAUAUAUUGCCAUGUCUAUGUCCCAUAAUGAUGAUGCCAUUGUCUAUGGGGUUAGUUACAAUGCAUAGAGAUGUAUCAAAAGAAAUCUUAAAUUUUUUAUCACACAAUUGACUAAUACUAAUAAGAUUGUGCUUUAAACCCUUCACAUAUAAUACAUUAUCUAUAAAGGUAGAGGGAGCGAUUUAGAAUUUACCAAUACCGAUAAUACGACCUUGGCCAUUAUCACCAAAGGUCACUACUCCUCCUUCCUUUGCUUCAAGGGUAAAGAAUUAAUUUUUGUCACCCGUCAUAUGUCUUGAGCAGCCAUUAUCAAGAUACCAGCUCCUUUUAGUUUCCUUGGCUGCAAGACAUACCUGGUUUUCAUAUGCUAUGAGACAAAGGUUAGCCAUUUCUUGAGGUUCAUCUUCAGAUAAUGUCUCCUCACUAUCACUCCAUGUUGCUACAAAGGCCUUCUUCUUCUUCUUAAACAUUUUUUUAGUAGAGGAUAAUCUUGCUUGAAAUGUCCAGGUUUCUUACACUUAUAGCAUAUCAUAGGUUCCUUCCCUUUUUCUUUUUUUGAUUCUUCUCUAACCAUAGGAUAUCUCUUGAAGUGUGACUUCAUUCUCCUCAUAAAUUUGUUGAAUUUCCUUGCUAGGAGUGCCACAUCAUUGUCUUUUUCUUCUUCACUGCUGUCCUCAUAUUCCUUUUGAGCAGUGGCCUUUAAGGCUAUAGCCUUCUUUCUUUGGAUCUCAUCCUCAUUGUGUUGCUUCAUGGUCAGCUUGUAUGCCAUUAAGGAUCCAAGAAGUUCUUCUAGUGGAAGCGUAUUAAGAUCUUUGGCCUCUUAAAUCGCUAUCACUUUGGCUUCUCAUGACCUUGGAAGGGACCUAAAAAUUUUUCUGACAAGAUUCGUGUUAGCAUAUAAUUUAGCUAAACUUUUUAAACCAUUAACAAUGUCAGUAAAUCUAGUAAACAUAGUAGUUAUGGAUUCAUUUAGUUUCAUUUUAAACAAUUCAUACUUAUGCACUAAUAUGUUAAUCUUGGAUUCCUUGACUUGAUUGGUACCUUCAUAAGUAACCUCAAGUCUAUCUCAUAUGUCUUUGGCAGAAAUGCAGGUUGAAAUUCUAUUGAAUUUAUUAAGAUUUAAUGCACAAUAUAAAACAUUCAUUAUUUUGGCAUUCAAUUGUGCUAACUUCCUAUCAUUGUCAUUCCAAUCUCUCUCAGAUUUGGGGAUAACUACAUUAUCUAUUAUGUGCGUGGGGAUAUGUGGUCCAUUAAUGAUUAUGCUCCAAAUGUCAUAAUCUUAUGCUUGAAUGAAAAUUCUCAUUUUUGUUUUCCAAUAGAUAUAAUUUGUUCCAUUGAACAAAGGGGGCCUAUUGGUGGAUUGGCCUUCAGCUAGAGUAGAUCCAAAGGGGGUUGCCAUCUGAUCUUUAGCUUUUGACAGUUAGGUCAAUAAUUAAAAUUAGAGCACCUGCUCUGAUACCACUUGUUGUCCAAAAAACAACCCAGGAGGGGGGGAUGAAUUGUUUCUUUAAAAAUUAUGCUAUUCAAAUUUUACUUAGCGAAAGGUUUCUUGAUUUUAAGCUGAAGCAAUAAUGAAAAUGCAGUAAAGAAGGAAGGACAAAUAAAUCACAAUACCAACACACAAGGAUUUAUAGUGGCUCGGAGUUAACUCUUGCUCCUAUGUCCACUCCCCAAGCUCACUUGAGAAUUUACUAUAAUCCUCAGAUUACAGUUCGGUUGUUUUGCAAGUUCACAACCCAACUCGUUGUUUUACCAUGAUCACAACAAACCCAGUUGGUUUUUUCUGGAUCACCAACUUAAAACCAAAUCUCAACCAACCUUGGUUGAAUACAGUCUAAUUCACGGGCUUGGACAAAGCCUUAACCUCUUGAUUCAAUCCCCUGAUUGAAUCAAGUUACAAGAUAAGAAAGGAUUGUUUUAGAAUAGUUACAAGCUUCUUUUAUACAAGCAGAUAUAUCAAUUUAAAUAAAAGAGUAAAGAAAGAAAGCCUGUAAGCAAAGAUGCUGCUGGAAGAACUUUGGCUUCUUCUUUAGUUGACCCUCUUCUGAUUUGACACGAAGUUGAGGAUCACUGAGGCAGCUUUGAUUGGAGAGGAAGCUUUGAAUUCAACCACUUACUUUUCUUCUCUCUUUUUUUCUUUGAAUGACCCUUGAAUACUCUUAAUGAGGUGUAUGUAUUGAAUGCUCUUUUAGAUCCCUUUAAUACUUUGAAUAGUUAAUGAAAAACUGUAAAACACACCUUCAUAUAGUCUUCUUCUAGAGAAAUAGCAAUUAGACGCUAAAAUCUAGUCGUUCUGGCACUUCUGAAUUUCUAACAAACUAGCUGUUGGAGUGCCAGUAGAUUUGGAGACGUCUCGACUUUUCUGUGAGUCGGCUCGUCUCAGGUUGGAGACUUUUCGAGUCUGUUUGGAGUCGACUUGAGAUCGGGCUCUUUAGAAAUGAGUUUCUGUUCAUCCUAUGGGAGACGACUCGCGUAUAUCAGGAGUCGGCUCGCGCUCUACCUCAUUCAAAUCGGAUUCUGUUUUCAUCUGCAGGAGACGGCUCGCAAAAGUCUAGAGUCGACUCGCGCACUGCCUCGUUGAGAAUGAGUUUCUGUCUUUCUGCGGAAGAUGGCUUGCGACAGUCUGGAGUCGACUCGCGCACUGCUUGCAAAAACCAUUCUUCUUUCUUUUCUCUGAAGGAGACGGCUCGCGUAUAUCGGGAGUCGGCUCACAUUCUGCCCGAAGAAAAGUGCUGUUCUGUUCUUCAUUGUGGAAGAUGGCUCGCGCUCAGCUGGGGUCGUCUCGCGCACUGGCACGUUUGAGACAGUCUUCUGUCUUACUGCGGGAGUCGACUCGCCUCAGUCAUGAAUCGACUCGAGAAUAUGCCAGCCCAUUUUCUUUGAACCUUUUCCUAAUAAAUUCUUCUUAAGUUUUUAUGUAUUUUUUUCCUAAAACACUCACUUAAAUUUAUUAGUACAAUUAGGAAUAUACUCAUGUGUUUUGGGCUCAUCAAAAUCAAAUAGGAGAUCAAACACAAUUGAUCAACAGAAAGGUAAAAUUCAGCCAUAGUAUGUAUAAAAUAAACCAAAGUGUUAAGUCUUGGCCACAAAGAUGGCUAAUAGAAGACCAAGAUAGGUAUUCUUGAAGAUUAGAAGACUAUUUCCAAGGUCGAAUAGAAUAGACGGCUAGUGCAAGCCAUAUUAGAAUAAAGUGAUUAUGCUUGUGUACAUGCAUAGUGGGAAGACAGUUGGCAAUUGUUAUCAAAACCACCAAGAGUAGAGAUUGAUGUGCGAAGCAACCGCCAAAGUGGACAGUUAUAGUAUUUGUGGGUAGUUAUUAUGUGUGAAUAUAAAUAGUAGAAUUGUACUUUGUAUUAGAUCCUUCAAUAGUUUAUUGGUCCAAUUUAUUUAUCUUAUCUUUUUGUUUAUUUUUUAUUCUAGAAAUAGACAUAACUUAGUUUUUCUACCAUAGCUCUAUGCUACGCCUCUUACUGUAGGUUCAUGUUAUACUCCUUAUCAUAGGUCUGUGCUAUACCCUUAUCGUAGCCCAAUAGUAUGUUUCUAUCUGGACCUAUCUCCUUUGAGUAGUGGUGUGACAGUAGUGAAAGUCCUUAAAGAUCAAGGCACCUAGACUCACUACUCUCUAUCCUCCCUUUAGAUCAUUAUCCUUUUGGUUGAUCCAACAUCGAUAGUAUGCCUGCACAUGUAUCUUCCAAUACUGCUAGAACUUGUCACUCCCUGCCAGCCAACCAAGUUUUCUAGGACCCUGAGUUCCUCGGCGCACCCGAAACAGGGUAGUAAAGGAGGGCCAACGUAGAUCUAUAAGAUAUUCCCACAAUUUCUUCAUUUUUUAAUGAUAUUUAGGUAGAAAUUUAGUCAUUUUGGGGAUUUUUUUAGAUAUUAUGGGUACAGAUGUCCAAAAAUUAUUUUAAUCAGAACAUCUAGGUUAUAGGAAGAACACGAUUCAAUUUUGAAACUAAUCUAGGUUAGUCUAACUAGAUUUUGAAAAUUGUCAAAUUUAAGCUCUAAAGUAACCAAGUCCGAUUAAGCCAACUUGCAUGUGUGGAAUUUGAUCAAGUUGAAUAGGGAAAAUUAAAUUGAACCUAUAAAUAAUUAAUGAGGGUAUAUAGAAGGUGGAAUUAUGGUACGCUAGAGAGAGUUAGAUUGUGUUAGUGUAUCAGGCAAAAUCAAGUGAAUUCAAGUUAAGCCCUUUCAAGUUAAUUUUGUGAAACUAGCAUGAAUCUCAUCCAAUUGAGCUUAAAAUUGGUUAGAGAUGGAAUUAGGAGGAAAAGUAUAAGAAUUAGCUUUGAAAUGAAAUAAGAUGGCUGGAAUUAGAUUGGAAUGGGUGAAUUAUGGUUCAAAAAUAGAGAAAAUAAAUCAAUUGAUGCCAUUUGGUGCGAUCAGAUUCAAUUGAUUGUGCAAUUAAUGAAUUGAAAGUACAAUGAGGUGAGUAUUGACCAAUAUAUGGCUAAUUGAAAUAAGAAAAAAGGGUUAGUGAAAUAAACAUCCACCAAAACCAAGAAACUUUUAGUUUAGGAGCAUGAUUGCUUAACUAUUUUAGAUCCAGGAGCUUAAAGGGAAUGCUCGAGUUUGUCUAAAAAUUGCAAAAAUGAAAGAAGAUUUGGCUUUCAAAUUACUAAAAUGAUUGCGAGCAUUACGAUGAACAUCCCUUUCCAAAUCUCUUCAUCUUUCAAUCAUCAUAAAAUUUGUUACACUUUGAAUCAAUCCCAAGACUUCCAUGAGUUUAAUCUUUAAGAAUAGCUAGAACUUGACUAGGUAGCAUCCCCUUGAUCUGUGAGAGUGACAAGCGAAGUUAGAGAGAGAGAAAGAUAGAGAGAGAUAGAGAGAGGGAGAGAGGGGGGAAGAGAGAAUAAGGGAAUGGAGAGAGGUAGUGGUCGGAAUCCUUCAUUCCAAGAUUUGUGAUGCAGCUACAAGGUAGGUAAAGAACCGACCUUGCUGGAUUCUCAAGCACCUAAGGGAGGAGGAGAGAGAAACCACCAACCAUAAAAGCGGUGAUAGGGACGGGGUGGCGAGAAGUAGAAGGGCCAAAAUAGAGUCUUGGCUCGGUUGAUGGAAGAGAAAAUGAGAGAUCCAAGGAGCCAAACUCGACUCCGACAUAGCCAUGGUGGAAUCGAGAGGACGGAAUGUGGCUAUGGCUAACCAAAUUGGGUGGCCAAAAGAGGAAAAACAAGGGUAUGGUGGAGUAGUGUUUAGUUUUAGAGGCAGGGACAUCGGUUCUAUCGUUACUAGAUUCGAUCGGCUGCUCGACUAAGUGGCAAAGCUAACCAGCUGAUUAAGAGGUAGUCGAAAGAAGGCUGGAGUUUACAGAAAUGUGGGUCUGAGACUCAAGCUAUUAAGAUAGCGGAUGCCCUAUCUCAAAACAAGGUUGUCCAUAGCUUGGCUCGAAAUUGACCAACUAUGCCACGAGAUCUAGCAAGCACGCUGGCUUGCAAACCACCAUAGAGGAGAGAAAGGAGGAGAAGAGAGGAUGAGAGAGGAAAGAGAUUACGUGGCCUGAAUAGGGAUUGGUUCUUGAAAUAGGUGAUGGUCUGAUUGUUGGUUGCUUGAUGAAAUUAGCAGCAAGAAGGCUCCGAUGCACCCUCAAGAACAUGAGAAAGGCUAGGGCAAUUGGAUUGAUAGAGGAUGAUGGUGAUGAUGGAGAAGAAUUGGAGGAGAGAGGGUGGGAAAAAUAGAGGAAAAGGAGGGCGAGGGUUUUGGGCAUCGCCGCUCACUCUCGCAAGUGGCUGACUUGAGAACCUCUCGAAGGUCACAUAGCCAUUACAAACACAAGCUUUGACUUCCCCAAUCCGGAUAAGCACUCAGCUGGAUAUUUGAAAUUUAGGGGUGGCAGUCGGGUCGGGUUGGACAUAAAUGAUCAAGUCAGAUGCCGGUCGGGUUAGAAAAUCAUAAACCUGAAGCCGACCUAUUUAUUAAAUAGGUCCGGAAUUACAACCAGAAUCUGUCAUGUUUAAUAAAUAGGUAACCCGAUCUGACCCGUUUAACCUGUUUAAUAAACAGAUAACCUGUUUGGAUAAGGGAAGGGGGAGGCCUCACAACCCAAAAAUUGUUGGGAUCUAAAGUAUAUUAAUAAUCACAAGCGUAAGGCCCAAUGAAUUAAUUAUUCCGUUGACCAAAACCCAUCCAAUCCAUCAAAUAGAACAUAUUUUUUUUAUAAAAAAUAGUAAAGUCAAAAACUUUCAAAUUAUUAUCAACGGAACCCGACAUAAAAAAGCUACACCAACGAUCGAGGGUAAACACAUCCAAUUGACGAAGACCAGAAGAAGAUGAGAGAAAGCAACAAAAGUGGGAGGGAGAAGGGGGGUGGACAAACCAGGGCGUGGCACUUUCCAGCCUGGAAGGAGACCUUCUGCCACCUCCCUCGUCACUCUCUUUGGCCGAGUGUCGAGUUUGCCGACUGGGAGGAGUGAGAAGUGAGAACCCAAGCCCAAGGACAGCGACGCGGCGAACGGGUGAAGGAAGGAACUCAGAAGAACUAAGGAACAGAAAGCUGGAAGGAAGAACUGAAGUCCGAAGAAGAAGAGGAAGGAAGAACGCCGCUCUCGCUCUGGUCUUCACUCCUCCGUCCUCUAGACGACUAGACCUAUGGACAACUGGACUCUAGUUACUACGGCAAAAUGGCGGAUGGAGAAGACGUGCUAUGCCUAUGGUUUUAUGGGCUAUCCGGCUAUGGAUGUCAGGGGGACAGUCACAGUCUCACAGAGGCUAUGGACAACAGUAGGACAGUCACAGACGUCUUAUCCAUUACUCUCGUAAGCCGUAAUCUACUGGCAAGCGUGUUCCGAGUUUCGAGUAGGCAGUAGGAGAGGGGGCCUUCUUUGGGUUUGGGUCGGCUCUGAACGGGUUAAAUGGGUUAAAUGGGUCAGACAUCUAAAAUAUGUAUCCGACCCAAUUAAUAAACAGGUUAAACGGGUCAACCUAUUUAUGAUCCGAACCUGUUUAGGCCAAACCCAAACAUGUUUAUGAUGAAUUGAACACGGAUUGGGUUGGCGGGUCGGGUCAUAUUUUGCCACCCCUAAUUUGAAUCCCAUGUUGUAGCUGGCGUGUUCACCGAGUUGACUCCACGACUCAAUUGAGUCAAGGUAAGGUUGAGGCUAAGUUCCAAGAUGCUAAGUUAUGGCCAAGUUAGGUGUUACACUGACCCAAUCAAUUAGUCGAUUGAGUCAAGUUAAGUUGAGUUCAUGAAAAUAAUUUUAGACCUAGCGAGUCAGGUCCUGGUCAUGUAUGAACCCAAUCCGAGCAUUCAAAUUCUGGUUGGAGCCGAAAUACAUCAGGUUUAUACUUCAAGUCAAGUAUCUAGCUUUUUUUGUUAUAGCUAAAAUAUAAUAAUAGAUAAUUUAAAAAUAAAUAAAAUUAAAAGAUCUAAUUUAAGCUUUAUUUUUUAUUUUAAAUUUUUUUAAUAACAUUCAAGUAAUUAAUCAUUUUUAAGUUUCUGUUCCAUAAUUUUAAAAUAUAUAUUCAUAUUUUGAAAGUAUUAUAAAUAAGAAUAAAAAAAUAAAUAACUAAAUUUAAAUAUUUAAAUAUAAUUAAGUAAAAAUAGAGAUCAAGAAAAAGGAAUCAGUUGAAAUGAGAGAGAAGAAGAUUAAGGUUUAUAUAAUUCAGAUUUUUGGAUAGAGCUAGAUUGGGUUCAGGGUCGGACUUAUUUUUUUAGUGACUAAAAUUAAACUCGGAUGGUACGUGGGCUGGAUCGAGUGAAAAAAAUCCAGCUUUGACUCAGAUUGGGUCCGAUUCUUCAACCUGACCCAACCUACGGGUCUUCCAGUACAGAUCAGGUCGGUACCCGGUUGGGUCACGGUGAACCCGAUCCCUUGCAGCCAUAACUUUCUCUCCGUCCGAAGAAAGAAAAGAUGAAUUGUAGCAAAAAAAAAGCAAAGGGGAACGCCUCUUUUUCUCUCUCUCCCCCCUUCCUCGUCAUCCCGUCUUCUCCUCCCACCACCCAGUCCUCUCCCUCCCUUUCCCUCCCUCUGUACUCUUUCUCUCUUGCUGAGAUUCCAAUAAAUCGAGGGCUAAGGUUUGGGUUUGGGAGAUGGGGCAGCAGACGCUGAUCUACAGCUUCGUGGCCCGCGGGACGGUGAUCCUGGCGGAGUUCACGGAAUUCACCGGCAAUUUCACCAGCAUCGCCUCCCAAUGCCUCCAGAAACUCCCCUCCAGCAACAACAAGUUCACCUACAACUGCGACAGCCACACCUUCAACUACCUUGUUGAGGACGGAUUCAGUAAGUCCCCUCCCAUCGAUCUCCCUCCUUGCCUUCCUUUUCCUCGUUUUUUGUAAUGAUUUUGGACUCUGUGCCUUCUGUUCGCGGAUUUACAUUCUUAAAUGAUUCUGUUCUUUCUGGGCGUGACUUCUGGUUGGAUUGGAUAGGGGUCGAUUUCUUGGUUUCCUUUCCAAGGAUCGAGGCUUGGAUUUGGUAAAUUUAGUGGAUUGGGUUGUUGCGUGGGCUUCCGGGCAUUUUAGGGCCAGGCUUGAUGGGAAACUGGCGUGUUUUGACUGAUGUUGGAAUUAUCAAUUUGUGAUUAGAUCUAAUAUUAUAAAUUUGGGAUGGAAUAAAUGUUCAACGUUUCUUUCAUUUUUCCCAUCUUAAAAUUAAUAUGGUAGGAUUUAUGAUAUCUAGAGAACAGAUUGGACGAUUUUCUUCUUGGUUUCUCAGAAGUAUAUUUUGCUAUAUUUGUCAGGUUGGUGAGGAGAGUUCAUGAGUACUGAAGUAUGCUAUCUAGCUUCUUUCUUUGUUGGCUACCUGUUUUAUAUAGCACGUUACGAUGAGCUUGAUUUGGGACCUUUGUCCUGAGUCGCAGAUUUCUAUUGUAACUUAGAUGAGAGGCAAAGUCUUGCUUAUUUCAGUGGUAUGUUUGAAGUCUAUAAUACACGUUACCAAAGGAUAGUUUUGCUGGUAACGAAGUGCUUCUAAUCGGACUAUAAUUAGCUACACGACUAGUGACAAAUGAGUCGUGUAAUGCUGACCAGCCACAUACAUACUGUAUAUAGACAUGUGUCUCAGCAGUAAUGCAUCAUCUAAACAAUGGAUGUUUGGAUUGAAAGAAACAAAUUUCGAAAUAAAAAUCAGAACACAAUGAAAAUGGAAAUGGAAACUGAAUAAUCAGAAUUGGCAUUUAUUACCAUUCUUUAGGCAUCUAAUGAAGGAUUGCAGAGGAAAAGAACAUAAAUUCCAUUCUAUUGUUUGAUCUAGUUAGUUUUAUUCUAGAACUGGAUCAGAUUUAUAUUACUUCUAUGUAUGUAACAUUGACUAAGGAAUAGAAACAUAGGUUUAUGAUAUUUUUAAAUUUGAUUCUUAAUCAAAAUUGUUCAUUCCUGUGUACCAUAAUUGCUGCUUAUUAGUUCAUAUGCAAAUAUGAUUCAAUUCUAUUUGGUUUCUCAAAUCGGGGAUGGAAUGAAAUGGGGAUUCCUACUUUUGCCUUAUUCGCAUGUUUGCUUUAUCCAAGAUGGAACAUAAUCUCGUUUUGCCUGAAGUCACCAUUCCCUUAAAUGAUGAAAUUGUCAUUGCACCUUUAGAUGGGAGGAAUGGUCAUUCCAAAUCUUUAUAUGGAUGAAUGACUAUUUGGUAUGAUGAAUUACUUUGUAGUCUUUAAGGGAUGGUAUAAAUUAAUAUAAUUGUUUGAUUUGAGUGUUUGUCUCUUUAGUAAUUAGUUCGGAUGUUGGUUAGGAAUGGAGUGUUAAACACUUUUUAGAUACACUUUAUUCCGUGGUUAAAUGAUCUAUAUAUCUUCAAAUAACAACCCUGUUCAGAUUCAUUACUCUCCAUAGGAAAAAUGCUAUGUGCAAGGUUUUAAAUAUCAGUGGUAUGGUGGGGUGUUUCACUGUCUCGAGAGUUGGGACACCACAAGUUGGAUAAUGGACCGACACAAUAUAGGACAUCCCCCAUCCCAAGUAUCAAGAUUUGGGGCAUCCCUUUUCACAAAAUAAUAGGGGCAACUCCAUCCCAUGGUAUUUGAAACAUUGGCUAUGGAGCUAUAAUAUGCGCACGUAAAAGGUUCUCGGGCCACCUAGUGCUAGCUUGGCAACAUAAUGUUCAACUAUUCCCUUUGGAUAGCACUAAUUCCCAUUAUUCACACAAAAACCCUCACACCACAUGGCAAGUGAAAGCAUUACAUUUUUCCCAUUAUAAUAGAAAAAUCACUGCUAUUUGCCUAGUCCAUCCUGGAUAGGUUUAUUUAGGAAAUAAUAUAUUAGUUGUUAUAACAUGAUGAUGACGAAUACUGGCCGCUAUAUAAAAUCUUGCUAUGCAUUUGUAUUAUGUAAUGGAGACAUCUGAAUAUGUUAGAAUUGUUAUAAUUUUCUAAAUCUAUUGUUUUAAACCUCUAUUCUUUAUUCAAGGGCAUUUUUAAAAAAAAUAGUAGAAAGUUAAUUUUAUUUUAGAAGUUAGCUAAAUGAAACAUCAUAAUGGAAUACCAUUUCCUUUCAUUUCAUGUAUUAAUUUUGCAAACUGUGGAAUGAGAACACCAAUUCGGGUUUCCUAUUUCUUAUUCCAUUUCCAUUUCAAUUUCCGUUUCAUUUCUUUUUUUGUUCCUCUAAACAAAACAUGAUGCAAGUCGAAUUAAUUCAUCACAAAAAAAAAAAACAGUCUAUCCUGUCAGAAUGAGAAAGGUCAUUCUUUCCAUCUAAGAGUGUAAUCAUAAUUCCUCUAUUUGCUGGAAUGGUGAUUCCAAGAAAAACUUGAUAGGGGUGAAAGUGGUUUGGAUAAUAUCCAUCCGAAUCUAUUUUCGUAUCCAAAUCUACCCGGAUAUGGAUAGAAAUUCGAGUAACUGACUAAUAUCUGUAUUUGUAUUUGUAUCUAUUAAAAAAAAUGGAUAUGGGUAUAGAUAGACAACUACAAAGAUUCGUAUCCGAAUAUUCAGUUCUAUUUGUAACCCUAUUUAAUUUUAUAUAGCACCCAUGAACUUUUUAGAAAAAUAAAUGACCAUAUUAAUAUGCUAUUAACUUGAUUUAUCAUCCACUUAGUAAUGUCUUUGAUUCUAUGGUCACAAAGUUUAAUUAUUUGAAUUAUAUCUGUAUUUAUAUACAUGCUUCCGAUAUAUGAUCUAUAUCUGUAUCCGUUUAAACAAAUAUGAAUAUGAAUUUUUGCAUCUGAUUAAUAUCCGUAUCUGUAUCUAUAUUUGUCAAACCAAAUAAAUAUGGAUAUGGAUAUACUAGUAUCCGAUCCGAUCCGAUUUCAGCCCUAAAAUUUGAUUAUGUUACUUGUUAUGCAAACAAAGAUGGGAAUGGGGCCAAACCUGAAUUCCCAUUACAUUUUAAUCUUCAUUCUGCGAACCAAAUGUGGAGUCUUAUUCUAAAAUUUAAUGAUGGCCUUGUGAAAUUUGAUUUCUAAUGGAUCAUUUGUAUGGGCAAAUGUGAAGCUGGAAGGUUUAUCAAAUCAAAGCAAGUUGAUAUUCUUGAUGAAAUAAAAUAUCAACCUGUAGAAGCAAUUUCAUGUUUUAUCUGUAUGUUUGUUUUCUACAUGUAUUUAUUGUGCUUGUAGUGCAUUGCGUAUGUUGGCUAUAGUAAUUGUCAUGUUCAUUAACUUGCAAUCAGUCCCAUCCUUGGCAUUGAUUAAAGUUUGAAUAUACAUUUGCUGGUGAUACAUGUUAGUUAUUUGAAUGUGUUGCCUAAUCUUUCUUUUUACAAAAGGAAUUUUGUCUAUCAUAUGAUCCAUGCAUAUUCUGAAGAUAUUCUUUAGCAUUCAUUCUUCAUGUUCUGUUCAAACAUGACAAGCUGGCUCUUCAAUCAUGGAAGCAUGCGGCCUAGCUUUAUUGUUGUUAUGCCUUUUUCACUUCACAUACUGUCUGCUAUUUCCAUUGUAUUUUCUUGCUAUUUAAACCACAUAAAUCAUAGAGCAUAUGAGGUUUUGGAAGUGGUGCUAUCUGGUUGAUAAGUUGACAUUAGUAGGCUAGCCUUAUUGAGUUAAUGUGCAUACAUUUACAUGCCUUGUUGUAUAGAAAUGGUAACCUUUGUGGAUUAAAUAAUUAUAGCACGUAUAGUGCUUGGUAUGUAUGUACAUGUAAAAGUAUAUAAACAUGUAUACAUAUAUAUGCAUAUAUAUACACACACACACACUUGCACAUAUAUAUAUAUACACACAUAUAUAUACAUAAUAUAUAUAUACACACACACAUAUAUAUACAUUAUAUAUAUAUAUACACACAUGUAUAUUCAUAGAGACCACCAGGACAUAUUGAAUCUUGGUUCCUAGUCUGGUUUUAUAGUGUAGAUCAUGUUCAAUGAUUUGGCUCUUGAAUUUGGAUGACUUAUAAUUGAUUUCGAAGUUGGGUGGACUGAUUUCCGAUCCACCUCAGCACACAAUAACAUCUCCCUCUCAUAUAUGUAUGUGUGCAUAUAUAUAUAUAAGUGGAUAAAAAUUUCCAUGCAUUACUAUCGUGAUCAGUUGAUGCAUUAUUGUAGAUAAUGCUUUGUUAUGAUACUUAGGCAAAUCAUCCAAGACAAGGUUCUCUAUACCGGUGCGUAUUGCACUAUAUCGGUACCAAACGGAGACUCGGUAGGCCAAACUGACCCCCAUAUCCAGCCUACCGCAAGCAUACUGAAAUUGUACUAGCAUGGUAUCAAUACGAGAUCCAGUAUAGAGACGGCGAACGUUGACCUAACAUGUUGAUUCAUCUUUGUGACUUCAGCAUUUUAAAUGGAGGGUGCUGAAGAUAUGCAUUUUACAAAUUUAAACAUGAUGCUUCUAAAUAACCAGUUCAUAAACUAUUGUAUGUUGUAACAUGAAAUUAUGAACUCUAUAAUUUCCUGGGGAUUUUUAUGGCUGUUGGAUGACCUUAUGGCUGCUCAUGAAAUAGUUGUGACCUAGGUUUUAGAAGUGAAAAACUAGUUACUUGUGUAUGAUAGAUAAAACAAGGCCCGUGCAUGAUGUAGAUAGUGCAUAUGUUUUAGUAGCCUUAACUUUUUUUGGGCGCGGUAUUGAAUUUCUUCUUGAAAUUUUCGGAAUGAUCACAUCAGAAAUGAUCUAACAGCAAGAGUUACUCUUCACUACAUAUAAUGGCUAGCCAAGAAAUUAUCUGUUUUCUUCAUUUUUUGGAAUGCAGAACUAGGCAUGUUGUAGGUUCGAUAAGUUAGCAUGUAUGCAUGAUUUAGAUUGUACUUGUGUUUGAAUAGCCUUAAUUCUUUGUUGGAGUCUAGUCAUUGAAUUUCUUCUUCUUUAUUUUUCAAAAGUAUUACAUCACGAAUUAUCUAAUACUUUAAGUGAUUUUUCAUUGUAUAUAAUGGCUAACCAGGAAAUUAGCUAUCUAUUUUGUAACUUCUUGGGUAUUAAGUACCUUCUUCUAGUUGGUGACUUGUGAACAAAUUUGAAAUAUUGAGAUGAAAAACUACUAUAGUUUGGUCUAAGGUUCGCCGUCUCGGUACCGGACCCCAUACAAGUACCAUCUUAUUACAGUAUCGGUAUGAGGUAUAGUAUGAGAUAGCGAGGUGUAUCGAGUGUAGGUAUGAUAUAAGACCGGUACGGUACCGACCGGUAUGGGCAAAUAUUGGUUUGGUCUUUAUAUCAAUGAUUCAAUAGAGCAUCCCUAUUUUUUGAUGGAAUGGAAUACACUUCUGCCCUACCUUGUUUCGACACUUAGGACAAGAGAUGUCCUGGAAUCUACUUGCGUGGGAUGCUAGGAAGGCCUUGUCCCAACACUUGGGAUGGUGUCCCAUCUUGACAUCCUGCAGGACAUCCCAUUAGGAUUUGAAUCACUACUUUAUAUCUUUAUUAUUUAAGUUGCAAAUUUUUUUCUACUAAAUUAUGACCUAGUCUUAAUUUUUUGUCAAUUCGCUGUCACUUUAUUACUCAUUAGUCCGCUUUUUGGCUUUGUCAUGUGAAACCACAAUUUUUUCUUCUUUUCUUGAUCUUUAGCUAACAAGGACUUAUAUCAUCAUCUUUGCAACGCUCAUUUUUGUGCUUCUCUUUUUUGCUCAAUAUUUUGAUACAUGAAAAGAUGGACCAUUUUGUUGCCUAUAAGAUUCAUCUUCGUCUUCUGGCAUCAGUUUUAAUGUUGGUUUCCUGUUAUAUGUAUUAAAGUACAUUUACGUAAUCUAAUCUAGCUCUCUAGACUUUUAGCUUUGUUUGCCAAAUGUUUUCACCAUGUAUAAAAUUUAUGGGAUGACACUGCUGCCAUCUUAGUGGUUAACAUCAUUUACAAGUCACAUAAGUCAUAGCACCAUCUUAAAGUAAAUGGUGAACUUGCAUUGAAUUAAAAAAAAAAGAAAAAGAAAAUAGAUAUGGUCCUAGGGUCACUCAUGAUGUAUGGCACUCUUAUUGAAAAUUCACUUGUUUGACGUGUCUCCAUUAGUUUAAUUGUGAUACUUCCUAUAACUCCUUCAUGAGUGAAUUUUCAAAUUCCUACAUUGUAUGCUUUGUUUUCAUAGUGCUUGCUAAAUUACCUUUUCUGAACACUUUAACUAUUAGAACGUGUAUUGAUGAUAUAAUGUCCAUAUAUAUCUAUAUACAUGUGUCUAUAUAUCCUUUUAUUUAAUUUUCCUGCUUAAAGUAUACUGGCAUUGUUGAUGUUCCAAGUAUUAAAUUGAACAGGUUCUGAAAUUUUAUCAACCUUUCUAAUAUUUUGUAUUAUCACACUCCCAUAUGUCAUGGUUAGGUCCUAGUGUGAUAAUAAGUCAAAUUGCAUGGAUAGUACACAUCAAAGGAUGUAUCGUAAUAAAUUAGCUCCUGUAUUGUUUUUCCUUAGUUUAGUUGGAAUUCGUUAUUUUAUCCAACUUGUGCUUCUUGCCUUAUACAUCAUUCAAGGUGAUGACAAUGCAUCUUUAGAGUGCUUCCUCUAUACAUCGUUGUUAUAAGAUGCAGGAAAUUAUAAUUUUUAUUUUUCGAAAAAUCUUUUAUGUAUUUUGUAAAAAAUAUUAGUCGCUUAGUUGUGUUACUUAAAGAAUCAUUGGACAGCAACAGGGCAUAUGGAACCUAAGCAAGAGAGGGUCUUAGAGUGCUGAUUGCAAGCUGGGUCAGUCUAAUAGUUUACAAAUCUUGCUUCAAAGUUCAAAUAGAGUUGGUUGGCUUUAGAAAUACUUGUAAUAAGAUCUUUAAACUAUCAGUUUUCUAGGAAAUUGUCUGUAGCUAGACGUGCUCAUGGUGUGUAGGGCAAAGAAACCUGCACAUGCGGAUGGUAGGACAUAUAGCAUAGAUUUUUAUUCAACCAUUCCAACCGGUCUCUCCAUGGCCUCAUCUUUGUACUUCCCCUUUAGCCUUUCCCUCCUCCUAAUAUCAUUUCCUCUAGCAUAGUCAAUCUUCUUCAUCUCGGCCACCAUGUUUUUCACCAUCAUGCCACUACCUCAUCCACACUAAUGUUCCCAUCUGGUUGUGGCACCACCCUUGAUGCCGUUGCCAUGUAGUCUGGUAGUACAAAUAAACUCGCGAGAAGCCUGCUUGUCUUGCCUUAGUCAUGGAUGGUGAUAUUGGCAAAGGUGAGGUGAAGAGCCAGUUGUGGAGGGGGACAAGAAGUGGCCUAAUUCAGGCAGUGAUGGUGGCGUGGACGGCGGACUUGAGGGGUUGAGGCAGCGCCUAUGAGAGCAGUCACAGUCAUUCUCUCUCCACAAAGAAGGGUGGUGCAAGAGACUUUGCAAUAGCAUGGCUAGUGCUGGGGCUAAUUGCUUUUGUAAUGUAGUAUCAGAUUAUGCCACUCAUAUAAUGGGUAGGUUAAAACAGAACCAGAGAUAGAGAUGAGAAGUGGGGAACUGGCCAUGGAUCCCAAGCAUUUUUACCAUGCAUGGAAUCGAGGUUUUAGCACGAGUAGAUAGAUGAGGAGUGGAGGACAUUGGCCAUAGAUCCCAACUGUCACCCCUAAAGCAUGCCUCCCACCACCACAGUCACUGCUAUCCUGUGGUCAGCAACCGUCACCACAGAUUCUGAAAGGUCGAGCCGUUAUGAAGUUGAUGAUGGAUGAGAAUGAUUUAUCCUUAAACUGUUUAACCAGUUGCUGUAAAUUGGCUUGGGUGGUUAAAUGAUUUAGAGCAAAUCUUUAGGACUAUGCUUGGUUUUUGAGCAUGUAGGCCUCUCUAACUUGCACGGGUAAGUCUAGCAGGCCUCUUGUAGAUAGGAAGUAGUAUCUCUACAAAUCAUGCCUUGUGUACAAAUAGUGUUGUGAUGUCCUACCGUUGGUAAUAAGUUAUGUAUAAGGAGUUAAAUCCAUCAAGAUAGUAGUAUUGAUUCAUUUAUGUGUUUUUUAUAUGGGGAUCUCUGAAGCUUUGAUGUAUGUAAUUUAAGAAAGAAGGUUGAAGUUAGUAUCACCUUUUCCACUUUUUUUCUUUUUCUCUUUUUCUUGUUCUUCUCCCAACUUCCAAUUUCCUCUUUCUUUGUUUUCCAAUUUUCACCUAUAUCUGCCAUCUUUUCCUUCAUCUUUCCUUUUUUUUCUAUUUGCUUUAUAAAAUUCAAGGAUAUGAAAGACAAAAUAGCCCCGAGAUCAUGCAAGGUUAACCCUGUUAAAAGUUGAUCAAUGGAACCAUAUCUUUUAACACAAAUCUUAAUGGUUAAGAUUGAAGUCAUUUAAUUGAGUCAUAUUCUUGCUUUUAUGGACCUUGCAUUCAAUAACAUCUAUGUAAGCUAUAUGUAUUUAGAUAAUGCCACUAUUUUUUACGACAGUCACAAAAUUCUUACGUAUAAUGCUCCUAGUGUCAUCCAUAUCUCAAACCUUCCAUAAUUGAUUUAGUAUCUUCUUAUCAUCAUUUUUUCUGAGUCUAACUUGUCUAAAUAAUUAUCAUAAUUUCAUGGUUAGACUCAGUAAAGUUUUUCCCUGUAUUGCUUUUUCUUUAUUUAAUUUUUGAUGCUUUCAAGUCUUGAAAAUCAUUGGUUACUGUGCCAUUUGAUGGGACAAACCAAACACUUAUUCUAUCUACAUAACAAAAAAUUAUGAUCACAGACAUUAACGCUUCGUCCCAAACCUGUCUUGCUUAUACAAGUCAUGAUUCUAUCUUCAAUCUACUGAUAUUUCUAUAAUUUCUGUUUAAUCUACUGGAAGCAUGCAAUAUGUACGCUAGAUUGCUAAUUGAAAUUGCAAUUCAAAUGACAAAUUGCUGGACUAAUGCAACCUUACUUAUUAAUGCUCCUUUUACUUAUUAAUGCUCCUUUUUAUGCUUGAACCCUAGAUCUUUAUUUAAAAAAAUGGUUGCAAGAAUUAUAGGGAGCAUAUUAGUUAACCUGCAUCCUUUUGUCCUGCAAUUGAUUGAUAAUGUGAAGUGCUGUCCUAAAUGGAUGCACUACAUAGCCUUUACUCAUUUGUUAUCAUGGUCUGGCAAAAUGUGGAGCCGCAAUUUACAGGAAACACACUUGGAUUAUCGAAAAUCUGUUCAGGAUAGAUACCAUCUUAUUUACUGAUUGGCUGCCAUCAAGUGUCUAUCCUUUAGCUUUUCAUCCAUUUAUUGGAGCAACAUUGGCACCGAAUAACUUCUAGAAGUGAAAAAUUGCAUAUUUACAUGACUGGUAUGAUAUCUUAUUCUUCUAAUAAUUAAACAAAUUUUCCUUUUUUUUUUCCAAAAGUCAGAUUUACUAAACUACACAGGAGUUGCCCAUUUUUGCUGAAGUAUGACAUAAUCUGUAUUAUUGGACAAGUCUUUCUUGAUUACGUUUUUUCCCCUUCUUUUGGUUAUUUCUUUUAACGUUGUUAGUGGGUCUUGAAUCCCCUGUUGUCGCAUGCCUUCUAGUUUCAACCACUCUCUUGUACAUGAAUAAUUCAUCAGAAUAUUCUGGAGCUUCAGGAAUUCUAUAUGAUUUUUUAACUGUUACAUAUUGUUUUAAGUUGGACUGCUGAUUAUAGUUUUUUGUAGUCGUGUCACAGUUGUAGUAAUAUAAUUAGCUUCUUGUUAGCCUAUUUGCCAGAAUCAUUCUCUAACUUGAUGAUUUUUGAUGGUUUGAGGAAGAAAAAUACAUAAUUAUGUGCUAGAAAGAUAGAUGUGGCUUUAUUACUGUGGUAGACUCUAUUUCGCGAUGGUCUAAUUCGCUAUUUGUCAAGGAGACACUGUUCAAGAUUCUAUAACCUCCUUGCAUUUAUGGAAAUUCUAAAAGCUUAGAGAAUGAUUUGCUUACUUAACAUCAAGAAAACCUGAACAUUCGUAUGGAAAGGACUAGUCAUUCUAUAAGAGAUCUUGCCUUAAAAAAGUCAACCUUAUUUAAAGUGAUACUGUUCACAGGUAUCUAAUACGGCAUAACCCAUAUGAUUUGUAAAACAUUUUGAUGUGGAGUACAAUAUGCUGUGUUCAGUUUUGUUGUGUUUGUAGCCUUCUUGGAGAUGGCUUGAAGGCUUGAUAGAAGAUUGUACUUUUGAUCCUUGUGGGUCGAAUAAAUACCAUCUUAGAGCUUUUCUCAAUUAAUUUUUUAUAAUUGUUAAUUAUUAGCUUAGCUUUCAUCGUGUGGUUAGCAUCCAAACUGAUGCUAAUAGCAGUCAUGGUUUGGGAUGAUGUUGGAUUGUUUACUUCGUAUCUUUCAACAUUUUAUGCAUAAUAUCCUAUGUUAUGUUAAGAUGUUGUCUAAAAUAAUUUUCAAAAGGUUUUGAGGCUGAUUUUGUAUAUAUUAUUUGGUUAUCUUAGUGGUUAUUGUGUUACAGGCAAUCAAUUGUUCGAACUUUUUGUGGUGGUAUUGUAUGUGGAGUAGGCUAUCAUACCUUAAAAGUUAAGGGUUCUCUCUCUAUGCGAGUGGAGAAAACUCCAAGUAGAUUUUGUGGUUGACUUCAUGAUUAUUUUUAAUAAAAGAUGGGUUUCUUAAUCUCUUUAUCUCCUUUUUUUCCUUUUACAUAUUUUUUGUUUUCUUUAAUGUUCCAUCAUCUUUAUAUACUCUCUUGAUUAGCUUGCAUCAUUUUGGUAUCAUGCCAUUAAUCUAAGACAUCAUCCUACAAAGUAUGUUUUAAGAUCAUAGUAAAUACCCGCAGUGCAAGAGUUGCUAGAAUCUUGUAUAGAUUUGCACUGCAUAAAUUGCAAGGAUUGUGGAUCGAUUAUUGUUGGACUUUGUUUAGGCAGAUGACAUUUGGGUUGAGGAGGGAAGAAUAGACCCCAAGGAUGCUAGAAAUAGGGUAGGACAUUGUUGAGAAACAUGGAGGUUUGCCUUUAGGGCCCCAUUCCUUGGUGGGUAAAUAUCAUGGGGUCAACUUUCCUAUAGACUAACUUAUCCAUGUUCUUAUGCUUCUCUAGAUGGGUAAGUUAUUUUUAUAGGUAUCAUUUAUGCAUGAAAUGGGGAAACGUCUUACCCACCUAGAAGGCAAGUCAUAUUCCCAUCAGCCCAGAAAAUAUUUUUUUUAUUUUGUUUCUAAAAUACCCCUAAUCCUAUUAUAAUAAUAUAAUAAUAUAAUAAUAUAAUAAUACUAAUAUAAUAUAUUGUAUUAUAGAGUAAUAUAAUGUCACUCAUAUAUAUUAUAUUAUGUUAUAUUAUAUUAUAAUAAUAACAUAUUAUUAUAUAUAAUAAUAUUUAUAUAAUAAAGGGUAUUAUGAAAAAUAUGGAUAGAUUUACCCAAGAAAAUAAUAAUGCAAAAGAACAUGGACAAAUUAUUUUUGUGUCUAAAUGUUUGCCUGGGAAAUACUUACCCAAGAAAAUACAUAUUCCCGGAUCAGUUUUUUACCCUCCAAAGAACGGGCCUCGAGCUGCGAUGGCUCUUGUACAUGCCUAGUAGGAUCCAGGAUAGGGGAGGUGGAGUUGUAAGCUAUCAAAAAAUAGUGAAAAAAAUGGAAUUACUUAUCAAGGAGACUGGAGUAUUACCUGCCCUAAGGUUGCACUAUGAUGACUUGCAAUAUCAUUUGAAGCAGUGUUUUGCCUACUGUUCAUUAUUCCCAAAAGACUAUAGAAUUGAUAGAAAGAGGUUGGUACAACUGUGGAUUGGAUUAGGAUUCAUUCAACCAUCAAAUAAUGAUAUAGAUGCAGAGGAUAUUGGUAACUAGUAUUUCAAUAGUUUUCUAUGAAGGUCCUUUUUUCAGAAUGUAGAAAGGAUGAAGAUGACAUUUUUUGUUAGAUCAAAUGAAAGCAAGAAAAACCUGAUAUAUGAGGUAAAUCAUUUUUCUCAAAUCUUUAUGGUAAUGCUUGUAGAAGUUUGAUUUUCAGAAGUUAGGGCAGGUCAUGGUAUAGUGAACUGGGCCUUGCAAGCAGUUACUUUUGCUCAUUCCUUAUUCAUCCAUUAGUCACUUAACCAGGGUAACUGAGGCACUUGUCUUAAAUGUUUAGAUAAUGUUUUUGGAACGACAUGUACUGUUAAAAGUAUUAACUUUUGGAGGAUGCAGCAGAUGUAUCUGUUCUUCCAACAUGCUGUUAUUAGAGUGGAGUGUUUGAAGAAGAGUAAUAUUUACAUUCUUGUUGUUGGAAUGCCCCCUCUUCUGGGGGAUGGAUUUUGCUCUUUCCAAGUUGGAAUUGCAUCUACCUUUCUGUCCCAUCACUUCAUUGAUUUCUUAAAGUCCUAAAAUUAUUAUAGUUCUCAAUCAGCUUUCCAAUAUUUUGUUACUGCUUGAUAUUUUUAAUAGGUUUGCGCAACCCGUACUUCAAGCCUUACGUUCAGAACUGUAAAACAAUUAGGAUUUAGCUUAUGCUGUUUGGACCCAAUUACUGAUCUAACCAUGACUGAGACUACUUGUACUGCAAACAUUAAUUAUAUAAAUUCUGUAAUUUAUUAUCUUUUUUUUGUUAACAAGGAAUUUGUAUUACUCUAGAGAACUCUAAUUUAUUAUCUUUUUCUUGGUUAACCAGGAAUUUGCAUUACCCUAGACUAGAUUCAUCUUAUAGAAUCAGUCCAUGCAUGUUUCCUAACCAGGAAUUUAUUUUGUCUUUUCUUUUCUAUGAGUAGCUAAGUUUCCCUGUCCUUGGAUUUUGUAGCAUACUGCGUGGUUGCAGUUGAGUCAGCUGGCAGGCAAAUUCCCAUUGCCUUUUUGGAGAGGGUUAAGGAAGACUUUAAGAAAAGAUAUGGUGGGGGAAAAGCGGCAACUGCUUCAGCCAACAGUCUCAACCGUGAAUUUGGGUACAUUCCCUAGCCGUUCAAAACAUCAUAGAUUUCUGUCUUCUUGUAUAUCACCAAGUGCUGAAAUGCUGACAUUUCAGGUCUAAAUUAAAAGAGCACAUGCAGUAUUGUGUGGACCAUCCUGAGGAGAUCAGCAAUCUGGCAAAAGUGAAAGCUCAGGUUUCAGAAGUCAAGGGAGUUAUGAUGGAAAACAUUGAGAAGGUGAGUUCUUUUAACACUUCUGCCGAAAGCUUCAAUGAGUUUGCCAUAUUUAUCUUGCAUCUGUGCUUGUUGAAUAGCUCUUGUUGUUGGGAUACAUCUGAUCCGAAUCUUGUGAUUCAAUGGUUCUUAACGUUUGGUGGCAACCAUCUCACAUUCUCUGCAGGUUCUAGAACGUGGCGAAAAAAUUGAACUCCUUGUUGACAAGACAGAGAAUCUUCGCUCACAGGUUUGUGGAUGUGGUUUGGUUCUGCAUUUGUUUUAGUGGGUUCCUGGUUAUGGAGCUGAUUAUAUGCUUCAAUUGUGGGUACAGGCUCAAGAUUUCAGGCAACAGGGGACAAAGAUAAGGAGGAAGAUGUGGUUUCAGAAUAUGAAGAUAAAACUUAUUGUGUUGGGCAUUAUCAUUGCGCUAAUCCUCAUCAUAAUCUUGUCAGUUUGCCAUGGCUUCAAAUGCACAUGAGACUGUACACCUCCCUUCCCCUUCUGAGUAUAGUUGUAUCUCUUUCUACCAUUACGACAUGAAUACUGGUGCUUUUGUGAUGACUAGUGCUGUAUCCUCCCCUGUUGAACUCUUUCAUAGUUUGUUGGGAAUUUGUAUGGCAAUGCUGAUGUAUAGACUAUUAGAACAGAUUAUUUCUUGCGACAAAAGUACAGUGUUCUAUUGGUGGAUUGGUGACGAUGUGGGAUUCUACAUUACUAGUCUCUGCUUUCUAAGAUUUUGAUGUGAUGAUUCCCACAGCAGUGCUGGUAUCCGGCAUGCAGGAUCUCCUUCUCAUGUAUGACAGAUUUUCCGGUGAGUUUUAAUAGUUGUCCUAGGUGUAUGAGUUCUGUACAGCUGCCAUUCAUCUGUCUGCAUGUUGCUUGCAGUAUGCUUGAUCUGUGCAGUGGAGCUUGCCUGUGCUCGCAUUGCUACGCAUGGUCCUGCUCCUGCGUUAGACCUGCUCGUUGGGCGGGUCGGGCUCAAUCCUAGGUAUGGAACAAGAUUAGCCAGGUAUGCCUGGCCCGGCCUUUAGGCCUAAUUCCUAGGGCUGAGCUCUGCAGCUUCGGCCGAUAGCUUCAUGCCGAGCCCACUUCAAGCCCACAUCAAUGACCAUGGUGGAGGGCAAAGAAAUACCUGUUGAAGGUGGAGGUUGAAGGCCACACACGGAUGGUGGCGGAGAGGGUGUGGGGUGGUGGUGGAAGGUUGAGUAAUACGAUGGUGAGGUUGGAAGGGUGGGGGGUGGUGGUGGAGAAGCUUUGGACCUACUUGGAGUAGAUGUCUAACCUGGAGGUGUUGAUGGUGAUGUGGUGCUUGCUGUCUUCCUUGAUCUCCACCUCGAUCUUGAGCGCAUCGUGGUGCCCGAGCAACAUGAUUUCAUAAUCAACGAUGAUGGAGGUAAUAAACCCAAUGAAAUGAGAGGACGAUGACCGACCAUGAGACUACUAGAGGACUCACACCCUUGAGGAAGGGUGGAGGGGACGAGGAGAGAAGGGCACCUUCUUUGUGGAUCAUAGUUGGCUCAAUUCAAGAGGGUAAGGAGGUGAUGCCCUUGUCGCCGCCUCCUUUCCUUUCGGCCGGGCCGUGCACUAAUAAUCUAGGUCUAUGCCACUACAAUACACACAUAUAUUGAAAAAAGAUCUCAGGAUGGGUCGAUGUAAACUCAAGCUCGGCUUAUAUAAAGGACAGGCUCAAAAAUUAGCUCCGGUCCCCUCUGAAACGGUCCGGGCUUAGGCAGGCUAGGUGGGCCAUUUGGUAUUUGAGCAGGUCUAUCCUAAAUUUGGCACAAUUUGCAGUUGCCACUAAAUGGACGAAGGUGGCACCUGAAAUAUGUGGCCAUGAGGAUCUUGACCACUGUGAAAUCGUGCUCAUCUAAGAUUGAGAAGUACGUUUCUAUUUUCAAAAACUUAGUCCCAUGUUUUCCAUUAGCAUGUGUAUGAGGAGCAUGUGUAUAUAAUUCGUCUUUCACUAGAAGGUUAGUCCUACAUGGGGUUUUUAUGUACCAAAGAACUUAAUUUCCCUUCUUCAGCACCUUUUUCUCCGUACUCACAACUUACAUUGUAAAUGUUUCCACUUUGCAUGAAUUCUUGAAGUCCUAUUUGGCAUUAUUUUCAUUUUAUUUUUUAUUUUAAAAAUAGAAAUACAAAAACCAAGAUUAGCAAAUAUAUAUGAUGUCAUUGUUUCUAUUUUUAUUUUUUGAGAAUUCAUUUUUAUCAUUUCUAUGAUGCCAUUAAGUGUCGUUUUAAGUAGCAAGCAGCAAGCAGCAAUGUUGUUUGACCGUUCAACCAAACACCCCUCAGUUAUCCACUCUUCUCCUCCAUCUUAAAAUCCCCCCUCCCUACCUCCCUCCACUGUCUCUUCUUGCUAUGAUUCCAAUAAAUCUAGCAUUAGGGUUAGGGUAUGGUAGAUGGGCAAAACAGACUCUAAUCUAUAGCUUCAUGGUUAGCAAUAACAAGUUCACCUACAACUGUGAUAGCCACACCUUCAACUUUCUCGAGGAGGACAGAUUCAAUGAGUCUCCCUCCCAUCAGUAUCCCUUCUCGCCUUUCUUUUCCUUGUUUCUUAGUGUGAUUUUGGGCAUCGUGCCUCCUAUUCAUGGAUGUAUACUUUUAAAUGCUUCUUGUUUGCUCUCGUUCUCAUGGAGACCUUUUGGCUGGAUGGGAUAUAAUUCGGUUUCUUGGUUUCCUUUUCCAUGUUCUUCUUAGGAAUUACUGUGCAAUCCCAAGCUAUUAUAGUGUAUCCUAGAUGGUUACAGUCAGAUCUCAUAUGGUUACAGUAGAAUCUCUAAUGGUUACAGCAUAACCCUAGGCUAUUAGAAUGCGAUCUUCAGGGACUCCAUAUCCCUCAGCUAUAAAUAGACCCCAAGACCCUUUAUGAAAGGUAAUCAAUUAAUCCUCAGCUAAAUGAAACUCUUUCUCUCUAUUUCCUCCUUUAUUCCCACUCAAACAUCCUUUCUAACUUAAGCAUUGAGGGCCUGACCGGACCAAAGCUCCAUUAAGUUCUCUGACCUUGUUUGUUGUCUUGCAAAUCGAUGGAAGCAGUCCAUGUCAGCAAUCUGGAGGUCGGCAGCAAUAGAUUAACACCAUCUAUGAGAAGGUAAACGAAAAGCCAUGCCACCCAGAAGGAGGAACUAAUCUAAGAUGUCUCUUAUCAGAUCUCAGGGUUCUCUGAUAGAGGACACCCUAAGAGAAUCCUAUCUUUCUUGGUUGCAAUUGUCGAUUCCACUGCCACUAAUUGAGUGCUAACCGGAGAAACACCCUUUAACCUCACUUUCGAAGUAGAAAUCACGGGAUUACUAGACAUAGGAAUGCCAACUCACAAGAUGGAACAUUACGACAAGAAAUAAAAUUAGGAAGACUUGAAAGCUUAGCAGGACCUUAUCGAAAAAGUUCAAGAAUGAGAUUGGAUCUACAUGGCCGCGUAUCAGUAGAGAGUGGCCCAAUAUUACAAUUCCAAGGUAAAGGAGCAAAUCUUCUAAUCUAGAGAUCUUGUGCUGAGAAGGAUACAACCCAUAGGAAAAGGAUUAAGAAAGCUCAACUCGAAUGGGUAUGGACCUUACAAAGUUGUCGAGGAAGUACAUCCCGGAACAUAGUGGCACGAAGCAUCUCAUUGGAACACCACUACCUCGAACCUAGAACUUUGAAAAGCUAGGAAUUUACUAUCAUUGAAAACUUAUUCUUUAUUUGAGAAGUAAAUUCUCCAAUGCAUCAUGUUAAUGAAAGAACAAUUCUUUCUCAUUUCUUGCAGUUCAAAAAUUUUCCGAAGUGGAGAAGGUCGAGCAAAUUUUGCUGCUUUAAGGAGCGUUGGAAUAAGGAACACCAAACUCCCAUAACGACCAACCGAUAAGGCAACAUGACUAUCCCAAAAAACAUAGCUCUGGUUGGGCCAACUUUGCCGCCUGAGGGUUUGGGGUCUGAGAAGAUCCAUCUCUAUCAUAGCCAUCAACUAGAGAGGUAACCCAGUUACCUAAGAUCAAAAAUUAUAGUCAGGCUAACUUUUCCAUGCUCUGGGGUUUGGGGACCGAGGAGAUACAUCUUUAUCGCAACCUUUGACCAUAAUAGCAUUCUGGUUGGGCCAACUUUGCUGCCCUUAACGUUUGGGGUCUGAGAAGUUUCAUCUCCAUCAUCAACCACAAGCUAUACGUCUCGAGGCAAAAUACUAUGGUUGGGUCAACUUUUCCACCUAAGGAUUUAGGGCCCCAGAAGAUUUGUCUCUAUUAUCGGGCCAACUUUGCUACUCAACAAGGUUUGAGGUCUGAGGAGGUAUGCCACUAUUGUAGCCAUCGACUGUAGUGGCAUUCAGAGUGAGCCAACUUUUCUGCCCUCAGGAUUUGGGGUCUAAGGAGACAUGUUUCCAUCAUAGCCAUCAACCAUGAUGGCAGCAAGACUACCCAUUCCGGCCCUCCCUAGCUUGAUCACCCUGCGAGUAGAAUCAAAGCCCUACUGCUACGAUUUUAAUCUUGCUCUUUUAAAAAGGGAAAUUAAAUGUAGAAUACCCCAAGUAUAGGGUGUAGAAAAGUAAUAUACUCGGUGAGUCCGAGAUCGAAUCCACAGGAAUUUGACAGUGAACAAAAACUAAAGGCUAAAUAAUAUUCAGAUUGACAAAAAUAUAACUAAGGCAUUAGGAUUCAGCCUAGCACUUAAUCAUGCUUUUCUUAAAAUCAUCUAUUAAUCAUAAUUAAAUAGAUUUAGUUUUAUGGGCAGCAUUACAGUAAUUCUAUUUUAAACUACAGGGAUUUCUAAGCAUNNNNNNNNNNNNNNNNNNNNNNNNNNNNNNNNNNNNNNNNNNNNNNNNNNNNNNNNNNNNNNNNNNNNNNNNNNNNNNNNNNNNNNNNNNNNNNNNNNNNNCCCAUUGAUGAUUAAAUGAAAUACAUGAAGAAAAUGCUAGGCUUUUCCCUAGCCUUAGCUAGAGAAGAUUUAGCUACUCAUAUGAAAUGGAAACAUUUUUAUAAAAAGGAUUAGUAAAGAAUAACUUAAAAUAAACAUAAAUCCCUUUUCUUUUUUUCUUUGGUUCAGAAAACAGGGUGCUCUGUUUUCUUCUCCCGGCUACUUUCUCCCUUCCUCCGUGCCAACUCCCAGGGGAAUGUAGUCGGUUGGAGAAAAAAAAUGAAAGGCCUCCCCUCUUCCGUCUGCCUCCACCGUGGUCUCCUCUCCCUUGCUCCGUGUCCUCCUGUCUCCACCGGAUGUAAGAUCAAUCCUCAUACCUCUUCUUCACCUGGGUCCUUUUAUAGGCUACGGUUGCUUGGGACGGUUUUGAACGCUGAUGAGACGCAGCUUGGAGAUGAGAAGUUGCUGGGAAACCACGGGUGUUGGGAAGACUCCUCAGAUGGCUGGAAUUUAUUCGCUGGGAAGGGAGUGGAGGACUCGGCUAGAUGAAACGAUCGAAUGCCACGACGCUUGGGAUGCUCUUCAUGGCUGGGACGGUUCUCUGUUGCUUGGAAGCCAAAAGAGCUUGGGGAGUUGCUUCGCGGAUGAAAGAAAGAGCCGGUUUGGCUUUGGAUUUCCCUCGCUGCUGUUGGGAAUUUGAAGAUGAAACGAUUGGAUGCCACGAUCGCUUGGGAUGCCACGAAGGUGUCGAAGGAACUUUGGGAGAUCACAGAAGCUGGAACGCUCAAUCCGAUUGCAUGCUGCCACGAACGGUUGGAAAAUGCUGGGAAGAAAUGCUUGGAGAUGACGAACGCUGGGAAGCUCCUCACGGAUGAAUCCUGCUCUGUUCAUUGGAAAGUUGCUUCACGGAUGAAAGAACCGGUUUGGGAGUUUGGGAGACAGGAAGCCAUGCGGAAGCUGAGUGGUCACAAACCGAACGGAAGGGGAGCUUUGAAUGAGGCGGGUUGUAGACGUUUGAUGCCACAAUGCAGGCACUUAUGCUAGCUGAAGCACCUGGAUACAGUGAAAUGGAUUGCAUGCGGAUGACGGGCGGCGUGAGGCUCAGAUGAGACGCUAAGGAUUUGUUGAGCUCGGAACGCCAAGCAUUGGGCUCAAACCCAGCAUUAUUGGAUCUUUUGAAUUACUUGCACUCAAACACAAAUAAAACAUUGAUUAAUCAAUUUUAUUAAUAAAGAUUAGCUCUAAUAUUAAUUAUGAUAGUAUGAAAAUUUCACUUUUGUACUCUCAUCACCUACCUAAUGGCAUAAGACCGCCAUAGUGGCACAAAGACCACCAUGGUGGCAAUCAAGGUGCAAUAGCCAACUUCAAAGCACGAUCGAGCUUAAAGAUUCACCAAGUGUGAUGAUCUGAAAGAUUUCAUAGUACAAUCUCAUCUUAAGAGACCAACCUAAAUAGAGGUAUGCCUAAAUAUUCAAAGUAUUCUUGCUCGAUUGCCCAGACCUGUUAUAUUUAGCAGCUAUUUUCCAUUGCUCACCAACAAAGAAAAGAUAAAGUGUACACAUUCAUCAAAAGUACUAAAUUCAUUAAUACUUGAAAAAAUCUGUAACAAAAAGCAACAGGAUGGAAAAAGGGCUAAGAAUUACAUCAAUAGAAAGAAGACAAAAAAUAAGGGAGCAAACGACUUCGGUCCUUGGCAGCUUCAUCAUUCAGGACCUCCACUACUUCAACAGUUGGCAUCGGUACAGACUUGUCGGUCAUCACCGGUGCAAUGGGCUCUUUGGGCACUAACCCCUUAGCAAUUGGCUUCCCUGGGACUGGACCCUCAACAGCUGACUCCCCGGUGGUAGGCUCCUCGACCACAGGCUACUCAGAGACGGGCUCCACUAUAGCCAGCCACCUCUUCCAUAGUGGGUAUCGAUCCCUCCAAAGUAUGCUCCAGGGGUGUGGGCUGCUGUAGCUCCACCAUGGGAACAUCAACUAAGUAAACUUCAGAUAAUUGAGGAAAGAAAAUUGGAGGUUUAUGCCUCUACGAAAAGGGCCUUUAUCGAAGAAAUGAAAGGGUUUUGAGAAAAAAAGAAGCGAGCCCUCUAAAUGAAUACAUUGGGGACCAACGAGAACAAUGUCAAUCUCACCAGGCAUGGAUGGAUAGAUCUCAGAAAUGUAUGUAUACAACUAGAUCUAGAGCAUCUAAGGAGGACCUCCACAUCUCCAAUAUGUGGAGUUGAUUUAUUUAUAGAGAGGUAAACUAAAAUAAGGAGAGCUAGGGUCAUGGCAUGAUCUUCAGCAAGAUACGUGGUCAACUUGAGAUGGGCCUUGACCAUUUAAACAAACCAAAAACAAAGAAGGCACUUGCAAACCUAGACUAAGAAAAAGCAACAGAUUUCUAAUAUGACAUCGACCCAGUACGAUAGCAGUAAAUCCAUACAUAGUAAUUGUAACCAAUAUGUUGGUGCUGAGGUAGGCCAAGAUCAUUAUUGAGAAUGGCAACAGGAGUAUUGGCAUUAAAAAAAAUUUGCUAAAUGAUCAAAGGUUGAAAAGAAUAGCUAGAUCCAAAAGGCUCAAGCAGGUCAUGCCAUGAUUAGGUAGAAGGUAUUAGUUGAGGAAAACAAAAAUAUGGAGCAUCAUAGAGUAAUGGGAAGUUCACUCUAGAAGGAGAAAAGGAAAAGGCCAAGAUGUCAGAGAAACCAUUUUCUCCUAAAUAGAUGAUUUCUGCUUGGAGAUGCAGUCAAGCCAUCAGUUCCAAAGAUCACAUCUAAGAGACCAUGGUUGAUGGUGAUUAGAGUCUUUCUAGAUUGAAGAUCUAAACUCUACCCUCUUGUCCAAAAAAGUUUUCUAGGGAUGGCAUGGGAAAACAAAAGAAAUGCAAUGAGAGAUCAAAGACCUAAAUAGGACCUAAUAGAAAAAAGCCAAAAGGUUUUUGGAUCAGUACUUGAGAAUGUACCAAUUUCAAAACCCCAAAGCGCUCUAAUUCCUCUCAUCUUUCACAAAAGAGAGUAUGAAGAUAGGUAGGAUCUUGGCUUAUCUUGCCAUUGAGAUUGGAAAAGCUUUAAGAAGUCGAGGGGAGCAGGAGUUGCUGGAAAUGGCAAUGGAAGAUAGGCCCCUUGAGCUCUUUAAAAAGGUUUUGGUGCUGCGUAGCAUCGUGUCUUAGAAGGAUUCUAGGACACAUUCGGUUCCUGAUUAGAUUCGAAAUCGGAAUCAAAAUCGAAAUCAAAAUGGAUUGGAAUGAAAAUCAAAAUGGCCAUAUCCCCCGAUAUGUUUGGUUUGUGAUCAGAAUCUCAAUUGGAAUUGAAAUGAAAUUGGAAUACUAGAGAAAAGUAGGGAUUGGAUUUUGAGAGAUUAAAGCAUUUUCCAUUUCCUCCGGAAUCGGAAUGGGAAUGGGAAUCUUCCCAACCAAAUAGCUAGAAUGGAAGUCACUCAUUCCCAUCCCAUUCCCAUUCCAAAGUCCAACUCUCACUAACCAAACAUGCCCCCAAUUGAUUACAGUGCAUUAGGAAGUGGUUUACUUCGAAAGGUAAGCUAUCUUAUUAAACCAUGUAGACUAUCCUUGAAAGAAGAAGAUACAUAUCAAUGAGGAUUAUGAUGGAAGCACGAGAAUUCCAAAGGGCAUGAGUGCUUUGAAUUUCUAAAUGCCAUAGCUAUGACACCAAAUGUGGCAUACGGUACAUCCUAUUACUUGAAUAAUCAAUGGCUAAUAGGAUAUGGAGGGUAUUGUUUAUACCGCAUCUAGACAUCCAAGGAUAGCCACACACGUGGCCGACAUGAGGUAAACCACCAAGAUCAAGAACUAGUGUUAGCGUGAUCAUCCGACUGGCCGAUAAAAAGAAGAAACCAAGAGGAGCGAGUAUUAUGUGAAGCAGUUACAAGAUAGGAUCAUGCUACAAGACAAUUAAGAAGAGGCAGCUAAUGUUAGGCGGAAGAAAGUCUUAUAAUAGGCCAGGGCUAAUAGAGUAUGAAUAAUAGUCUAGCAAUUUGUGCAUGAUAGCCAUGCAGUACUAGAAAAGUAACCGAUAUUACUUACUAGAAUCGCCAUUAGUGGAUGGCAGAUGUGGGAGCUACCAUCAGAGUUGGUAGUUACUUUAUUUUAGUAUAACUAAUCGAAUUGUACCAUACAUUUAAGAGCCCUUCGAUAAUCAAUCAAAUGCAUUUUUUUUUCUUAUCUUAGUCUACUAUAGUUUCUACCCUAAGAGAAACUGUAACUUAGCUUUUACUACCAUAGUCCAAAGUUGCACCUUUUAUUUAUCUUCGAAGGGUCAUGUGAUAGUGAUGAAAGUCUUUGAAGGUCAAGGCAUCUGGAUCCACACUACUCUAUAUCGUCUCUUCGAUCGCCACUGAAACUCGAUGCCUUUCUCCACCAACCAAUCAGGUUUUCUAAGUUCAGUCAAAUAUGGCUUUAAACCUUCUUUGUGAUGCUUACAUUACAUAUUAAAAUUAAUUCAAUUUUAAAUUCAAAUAAGGUGUGUGGUAAAAUGUGCUAGCCACAUCGUGCACAUGCUUUAAACCUGCAUUUAAACAUCCAAUGUGGGACUAUUGAGGCAGCAAUCAUGGUUUUGUGGUGUCUAUUUUGGUUUUUCUCCAAUGUUAGCGGUCUACUGCUAUGCCAAUGAGGUAAUGGCACUUGGCAUCAUCGGGUGGGGAAUGUUGAAAUCUCCCGCUCACAAGGCCCUGGCAGAUGCCCUUGUAUCCAUGCGAUGGUUUUAUGCUCGAUAUUAUUGGUUGGUAUGGGGUCAUCUAGGCUCCCUGCACUAGCUACCUAAGCUCCAUGGCUAAAAAGUACUUUUUAGAGGACCAAGAACUUUUUUUUGGAUGAUUUUGAGUAUGGGGUAAAAAAUUUACAAUAGCUUUAUACUCCUCCCAAAGUUGAUAAAGGUCUGCUAAGGAAAACUUUAAUUUGUAGCUUUCAUGUAAAAGCUCUAUUUGAGAUGUAUUCUAGAAGCUAUUUUUUUCCUAAGAUCCUGGGUUCAAAACCUAGCGACGAAUUUUUUAAAUAAGUUAAUGAUAUUUUACAAUAAUAAUUUUUGAUGGUGUAAUAUAAUAUAAUAUAAUAUAAUGUAAUAUAAUUAUGAUCAUUAUCAUUCUACGAUAAUAAUCAUAUUAUAAUAUAUAAUAUUAAUAUACUAUAAUAGUAUUAUAAUAUAAUAUACUAGAAUAGUAACAUCAUUUUAUUAUAUGUAGUAAUAACAUAAUAAUAUGAUAAAAUUAUUAUUAUAUUUUAUAAUAAAUUUAAAAUUUAGUAUGUAUUAUAUUAUUUAGAUUAAAUAUCAAAAUAAAUAAUCGAUAAAUUAAGAAUACUUUAUAAAAAUAAUUCUAAUAGUACAAAUGAUUAGAUAAUUAAAAAGACUACAUAAUAUCUUUUUUUGUUAUUUUCUGAUACUAAAAGUAUUUUCUUAGUUUAAUUACCAAAUAUAUAUUAAAAUUUUACAAUACCACAAAAAUAAAAUUAUCAAACAGUAAAUAUUUUUUUUACUAAAAACUUUACCGGUAAAAGCUCUACUAUCCAAAGCUCUACAAAUAAAAACUUUAUUAUCUAUGGCUAUGCUAAAUGGGACUAUAAUCCCAUGAGAUCGACGUAGUGAGACGAGGCCUUUCUUGUACUUUGUAGCCUACUUGCANNNNNNNNNNNNNNNNNNNNNNNNNNNNNNNNNNNNNNNNNNNNNNNNNNNNNNNNNNNNNNNNNNNNNNNNNNNNNNNNNNNNNNNNNNNNNNNNNNNNNNNNNNNNNNNNNNNNNNNNNNNNNNNNNNNNNNNNNNNNNNNNNNNNNNNNNNNNNNNNNNNNNNNNNNNNNNNNNNNNNNNNNNNNNNNNNNNNNNNNNNNNNNNNNNNNNNNNNNNNNNNNNNNNNNNNNNNNNNNNNNNNNNNNNNNNNNNNNNNNNNNNNNNNNNNNNNNNNNNNNNNNNNNNNNNNNNNNNNNNNNNNNNNNNNNNNNNNNNNNNNNNNNNNNNNNNNNNNNNNNNNNNNNNNNNNNNNNNNNNNNNNNNNNNNNNNNNNNNNNNNNNNNNNNNNNNNNNNNNNNNNNNNNNNNNNNNNNNNNNNNNNNNNNNNNNNNNNNNNNNNNNNNNNNNNNNNNNNNNNNNNNNNNNNNNNNNNNNNNNNNNNNNNNNNNNNNNNNNNNNNNNNNNNNNNNNNNNNNNNNNNNNNNNNNNNNNNNNNNNNNNNNNNNNNNNNNNNNNNNNNNNNNNNNNNNNNNNNNNNNNNNNNNNNNNNNNNNNNNNNNNNNNNNNNNNNNNNNNNNNNNNNNNNNNNNNNNNNNNNNNNNNNNNNNNNNNNNNNNNNNNNNNNNNNNNNNNNNNNNNNNNNNNNNNNNNNNNNNNNNNNNNNNNNNNNNNNNNNNNNNNNNNNNNNNNNNNNNNNNNNNNNNNNNNNNNNNNNNNNNNNNNNNNNNNNNNNNNNNNNNNNNNNNNNNNNNNNNNNNNNNNNNNNNNNNNNNNNNNNNNNNNNNNNNNNNNNNNNNNNNNNNNNNNNNNNNNNNNNNNNNNNNNNNNNNNNNNNNNNNNNNNNNNNNNNNNNNNNNNNNNNNNNNNNNNNNNNNNNNNNNNNNNNNNNNNNNNNNNNNNNNNNNNNNNNNNNNNNNNNNNNNNNNNNNNNNNNNNNNNNNNNNNNNNNNNNNNNNNUAUUUUAUAUUUAUUAAAAAAAUUUAUUAUUAAAAAAAAAGGCCUCAUUCAUUGGAUUCGCCUUAGGCCCCCAAAUGUAUCGGGCCGCCCCUGCCUACUUGGUCAUUUUUAGUAUCAAAAAAGGACAUUGAAAAGGUGGCUAAAUUAAUUUCUUCAAAAGCCAAAACUUGAGGUACAAUCUUCGCUGAAUAUAGUGUCUAAGAAAGCAAAACAAAUAUUCCAUAUUUUCAUAAAAUGUGCACCGAGCAUCUCUGAGUGUCAUGCCCUUCUUCGUCGCAUCUACUGUACUUCUUUUUGUUGUCCACCGCAUGUACACUCCCUUCGUUCUAUCCUCAUCUCAUACUAGUGCAAUAGGUGGGAAGAGCGUGGAUUUUCCUUCCUGAGUGGAGCAGUGCUCCUGCCUACGCAUUAGCUUCAAAGAAUAACAAGGCCAAAGCUCUUAGGAGGUCAGGGGCAUAGAAGAAGGUGACAAUGAAGAGAGGGAAAAAGACAGGAAGCGCAACAAAGUGAAGAAAACCACAAGCAAGGAUGUAGCCUCAAAGGGAGCAGGCCUUAUGGCAUUGGGGGGAAAGGAAAAAGCAGAGGGCAAAACAAUGGUGGUUGUGGAGUGAUAGGUCCCACUCAGAGAAGAAGGAAGUGAAGAAUGAAAGAGAAAGAACGUUGUUCUUUAUAUACAUUCCAUGCAAAACAGCCUACAGCUCUCUUCGGGCGAGAGCAGCCCAGUGCAAAUAAAAUAAGGGAAAAUACAACUAUGCUUCUCUUCUUUCCAAACCCAAGGCGUCCCUUCCCUUUUGAUUAAUUUUCUCUGUUGAGCAUCUUGGGCCAUCAUUUGUCACUCGACGUCCAUCACUUGUCAUCGCUCCCACGUCCACGAGACCUCCGGACCUCUUUAGUGCCUCCACGUCCCACGUCCCAUGAGAGACUCGGCCAUGCAUCCCCUUGGCGUGUUCCGCUCGCUCCGUCCUCGCAACCGAACCAUGGCUGGAACGAGUCUUCCUCUCGCUCUCGCUCCCAGCUCUCUCACAGUCGCCUUGGCUCCGCUUUCCGUUGGUUCCCGCGUGUGGAGUGACGUCCAGACCCAUCAGGUAACGGGGGUUUGGUUUCCGAACCCGUUGUGGCCUGAUGGGUUUAGUCAUGGGCUCAUCAUCCACUCCCCCAUCAACUGAAACCUUGUCCUCAAGGUUUGUCUCAGGGUAUUGUUCCUGCAAGUGACCAUAAUCCUCCCAGGUGGCAUCUUCUUCCGGAAGCGAACGCCAUUGUACGAGGAUUUCUUCUGUUAGCCUUCCUCCUUUGUUGACCCAGCGGUAGUCUUUAACAAGUUCAGGCUCCAACAUUAAGUUACCACCCUCGCGUAUGGGUGGUGGAGCCGGACAGGAAGUUUGCCCCUCGCCCAGUUUCCUCUUGAGGAGUGAGACGUGGAACACCGGGUGGACCUUGGCUGUUUCCGAUAACUGCAACCGGUAUGCUACUGAUCCCACCCGUUCAAUGACACGGAAGGGUCCGAAAUAUUUCUGGGCAAGUUUCUGAUGCGCUUGUCGGAAGACUGUCUGUUGGCGGUAGGGAGGAAGUUUGAGAAACACCCAUUCCCCUUCGUCGUAGGUCACUUCCCUCCAUUUUUUGUCGGCCUGCUGUUUCAUUCGGUUUUGCGCCUUCUCCAAGUUGCAUUUGAGCUCUCUUAGUAGCUGAUCAUGGUCGAGUAAGUUCCUAUCGACUUCAUCAGCGGCUGACACUCCCUCCAUAUACCGGAUAAUGGAAGGUGGAGCUCUCCCAUAUAAAGCUUGAAACGGCGUCAUCCCGGCAGCGGAAUGGAAGGUGGUGUUAUACCAGAAUUCCGCCCAAGCCAAGUUGUGCUCCCACGUCUUGGGAAACUGACUGCACAUGCAUCUAAGAUAUUGUUCCAUGCACCUGUUCACCACUUUAGUCUGCCCAUCGGAUUGUGGGUGAUAAGCCGAGCUCAUGUUGAGGGUAGUCCCUUGCAGUUUGAAGAACUCGCGCCAAAAUGUGCUUACAAACACAGGGUCACGGUCACUAACAAUUGAUCUUGGCAUCCCAUGUAAGCGAGCCACUUGAGUUACAAAGAGCUCAGCUACCCCCUUAGCCGUAUACAGAUGAGAUAGGGAUAAGAAAUGGGCGUAUUUGGUCAACCGGUCGACAAUGACUAGUAUCACAUCUUUACCUCUGGAUCGUGGUAACCUUUCAAUGAAGUCCAAGGAUAUAUCUUCCCAUACUUGCGUAGGUGUCGGAAGAGGUUGUAGUAGUCCAGCCGGAGCCUGUGCUUCAUACUUUUGUUGUUGACAAACUAUGCAUUCCGCCACAAACCGUCGGAUAUCUUUCUUCAUUGCUUCCCAGUAGAAGGCUUGAGAGACCCGCUUGUAAGUUCGUAAAACUCCGGAAUGCCCGCCGAUCUUGGUGUUAUGGAACUCCUCUAUCAGUUUGUUGCAUAGGGGAGAUCCAGGGGGAAUCACGACCCGACCUUUGUAGUAUAGGACUCCGUCUUUGAGCUGGUAAUCCUUCGUGUGAUCUGGUGCAGUGUUGAGUUGCUGUAACUUGCCUUGCAAAUACGAGCUUUCCUGGUUGGCUACUCGUAUGUCUUCCCAGAUAUCGAAGAGCGGCCAACUGAUGGCUUGAAGUAAGGUGACUUCGGGUUGGCGUGACAAUGCGUCCGCUGCUGUGUUAUCCUUUCCAGGCUUGUAGACGAUCUCAUAUUCAUAUCCCAGUAGCUUGGCCACCCACUUUUGCUGCUCCGGUGUACUCACCCGCUGCUCCAAGAAGUGUCGCAGGCUCUUUUGAUCGGUGCGGAUUUGGAAUUUCUUUCCCAACACAUAGGGUCGCCACAGUCGAACUGCUUCCAUAAUUGCCCACAUCUCCUUCGCAUAUGUGGACCAUCCUUUCUUUGUUAAACCCAGGGCCUUGCUCAUAUAUGCAAUGGGUCUCCCAUUCUGUGAUAACACUGCCCCAAUCCCCUUAACGGAAGCAUCUGCUUCAAUAACAAACGUUCCCGAAAAGUCAGGCAUCGCGAGCACCGGGGUGGUCAUCAUAGCUUGUUUGAGGCGAAGGAAAGCUUCCUCAGCUUGAGAACUCCACUGAAAAUGCCCUUUUUUCAGCAAGUUUGUUAGGGGUGCGGCGAUGAUUCCAUAGUUCUUGACGAACUUCCUGUAAUAACCUGUCAAUCCAAGGAAUCCUUGAAGCUCCAUCACAUUCGUCGGUCGUGGCCACCCCUGCAUGGCUUGGAUCUUGGUGGCGUCGACCUGCACCCCCUUGGCCGAAACAAUGUGGCCAAGGUACUCGACUUGCUGCUGCCCGAACGAACACUUGGUUGGUUUCAAAUAGAACCGAUGUUCAGCAAGGAUUUGUAAGGUGGUAUCGAGAUGAGAUAGGUGCAGCUCCCACGUGUCACUGUAUACUAAGAUAUCAUCAAAGAACACUAGGAUGAAUUUUCUCAGAUAUUUUCUGAAGAUGGAGUUCAUGGCAGCCUGGAAUGUGGACGGGGCAUUACAUAGCCCGAAGGGCAUUACCAAGUAUUCAAAGUGCCCAUAGUGGGUUCGGAAAGCAGUCUUAGGGAUGUCUUCCUGAUGAACUCUGAUUUGGUGGUAGCCUGCUCGGAGAUCUAGUUUGGAGAAGUACCGCGCCCUGAGAAGUUCGUCGAGCAUGUCGUCCACCAUCGGUAUGGGAAACCUAUCCUUGAUAGUGGAAGCAUUGAGCGCAUGAUAGUCAGUACAAAAUCUCCAGGUCCCAUCUUUCUUCUUCACGAGCAAUACUGGAGAAGAGAACGGGCUCUAGCUUUCCUGAUGAUCCAUGUUUCGAGCAUCUCUGCCACCUGACGUUCGAUCUCGUUCUUCUGGUAGUAGGCAUACCGAUAUGGCCUGACAUUGAACGCCGACGUCCCUUCUUGGAGGGGUAUCCUGUGGACGAAAGAUCGCUCUAGUGGUAGACCUCGAGGCUCCUCGAAGAGUGGCGAGUACUUAGCCAGUAAUUGCCGCAAGUCAGGAUGUGGAUUCUCUGCUUCCGCCGGAAGUGGUUGUUGUCCUGCAUCCUGCACAAAGAUGGGUUCUCCCUUUGAUUUCCCAGCGCACCCCUUGUGGAUCAAGGGCUUGUGCUGGUCGCGAAGGUUGUCCCGAGAUCUCACAUUCUUGGCCAUUCCACUGGAACCUCAUCGUUAGAUGUUUUCAGUCACAGAGUACAGGGCCCAGCAUUUCCAACCACUGGAUACCUAGGACGGCAUCCAGUCCCACCAAUGGCAGCUUGUAGAAGGUCACCAGGAAACACUUCCCUUGCAACUCUAUGUUGAUUGAUCGAAACCUCUCCUGACAUUGGAGAGUUUCUCCAUUGGCAACACGGACCCCGAACUCCUCUGUAGUGUCUACCGGCAGUUGGAGCACCUUGGUAACUCGGUUGCUCAAGAAAUUGUGGGUCGAUCCGCUGUCGGUGAGAACCAUCAGCGGUUGUCCUCGGAUAUGGGCCCGGACGCGCAUGGUUCUUGGCCCGUUUCACACUGAUAGGGCAUGUAAUGAUAUCACCGGGGACCCACCUUCUUCGUUCCUAUCUUCUCCACAUUGCUCAGGAGCCCCGCCAGCAGGUGCUUCUGGUUCUUCAUCGCGGUCUGCUUCAAUCAAAUGGACCUGUGGAGUUUUACACCGAUGUCCUGGAGUAAAACGUUCGUUGCAUUUGAAGCAAAACCCGCACUCCCGACGCUGCUGCAUCUCUUCCUACGUGAUUCGUCGGACUGGCGUUGGCGCAGGAAGCCGCGGCACAGAGGUAGACGAGGAUGGGAAGGUGCUGGUUCCCGGACUCGUCGUGGUUGGAGCCUUGGUGCUCCCCGUGAUGUGAAACCCGAUGUGUCGUGGGGUGUUUCGCUUCUGCUCCAGCCGCUCCUCCCGCAUGCGAGCAACGGUAAUGGCUUCCGGCAGCGAGUGGGGUUGCCUCAUUCGUACCUCUUUGGCUAUCUCCUCCUUGAGUCCUCCGACGAAGGUUCCGUUCAACGCCUCCUGCGGCCAGCCACUAACUCUGUUGGCCAAUUUCUCGAAUUCUUAUUGAUACUCCCUCACUGUUCCCUUCUGUUGAAUACGUGAUAACUUCUCGUUGAAGUUGACAUACUCAUUUGGCCCGAACCGCGCCAACAACUCCUUCUCAAAGAGUUGCCAUGUUACCACCAACCCUUCAUCCCGAUAAGCUCGUCGCAGCCAUUGCCACCAGUGGUUUGCCUCCCCGUCCAAGUAGAAUGAAGCAGUGGAAACCCGACGGUUGGCUGGAACCCCUUGACUGUCGAAAUAUUGUUCCGCCCGGUCAAGCCAAACGAUCGGAUCUUCCCCCGUGAACUUUGGAAAGUCCAUCCUUGGAUGUCGCAAGUAGCCGGUGGUGUCUUCCAGUCGGCCAGGGCCUCCUCCCGGUGGUGAUGGAGGAAACGAGGCCUGAGGUUCCAACGGUGGUCGUGGAGGGGCAGACAUUUGUAGGUCGCGGAUGGCCUCCAAGAUUUCGGUGAAGCGUCCUUCCGCACGGUGUUCCAUGCCGCGUAGCUCCUCCUGUACAACGCCCAUCUCGGCUUCAAGGCGUUCAAUCCUCUCUUUAUUCGGCAUCCUCCAGGCUCUGAUACCACUGAUAGGUCCCACUCAGAGAAGAAGUGAAGAAUGAAAGAGAAAGAAUAUUGUUCUUUAUAUACAUUCCAUGCAAAACAACCUACAGCUCUCUUCGGGCGAGAGCAGCCCAGUGCAAAUAAAAUAAGGAAAAAUACAACUAUGCUUCUCUUCUUUCCAAACCCAAGGCGUCCCUUCCCUUUUAAUUACUUUUCCCUGUUGAGCAUCCCGGGCCAUCAUUUGUCACUCGACGUCCAUCACUUGUCAUCGCUCCCACGUCCACGAGACCUCCGGACCUCUUUAGUGCCUCCACGUCCCACGUCCCAUGAGAGAGACUCGACCAUGCAUCCCCUUGGCGUGCUCCGCUUCCUCCGUCCGCGCAACCGAACCAUGGUUGGAACGAGUCUUCCUCUCGCUCUCUCUCCCAGCUCUCUCACAGUCGCCUUGGCUCCACUUUCCGUUGGUUCCAGCGUGUGGAGUGAUGUCCAGACCCACCAGGUAACGGAGGUUUGGUUUCCGAACCCGUUGUGGCCUGAUGGGUUUAGUCAUGGGCUCAUCAUGGAGAUGGUAGAGUUGAGCAAAGGAGCCGGUAACCAACAAGGCCACAAAAACAAGGAGAGGAAUGAAGAGAUUAGGAGAUUGAGAAAGAAGAAAUAAGGGAUAUGGAGAGAGAGAGAGAGAGAGAGAGAGAGAAGAACUAGANNNNNNNNNNNNNNNNNNNNUAGAGAGAGAGAGAGAGAGAGAGAGAGAGAAGAACUAGAGAACAACCCCAGGCUUUAGACUGCACCCAAAUCAACCCAAGCAUCGAUUCGAACCCAGCCUGAAACACAGACUUAAUAUUUAAACCAAGCCGAACCUGAACUCACUCGAGCCGAACCCAACGCCCAACCUUAAAAAGCAGCCGUGCGUGCGUAUCACAAGGCUCUUUACACUGCGAUACAGUAAUAACCAGCCAAGUCUAAAGCCUACCGACAUCAUCUCAAGUUAUACUUGCAGCAGUCCAACAAUCGAAAAGCUUUGGGUAACUCCAUCCAAGGAAAUUGGAAGAACGGGAGAAGAAAAGAAAACCCAGAAGCUGAAUGCUCAAAACAACCGAUCAAAUUGAUUUGAAAAAGGAGGCCAUAGUAGAUCCAUCCAAAGUUUCAAGAAAUAUGCACUAUGAAAAAUGUACCUCUUAGAUACACCAAGGAGGGAAAUUGGCGAGUGAAUUACAGCAUGCUAUAAGAACUUCGGCAACCAUAGGAAACAAACAAACUUGGCCUGCCAACUUUGACAUGUAAUAGAGUAGACACAGAACCACUUUGAUUACACCAUUACACCCUGUGCCAAAUAUCCACAUCUCACAUUUGAUGGCCCCAAACAAGUUCCUUGAUAGAUAUAUUAUAUUUUUUCCCCUAAAAACAAGCAUGCACAAGAACAUUACGCGCCAUAACCACUAUAUCAGGCCUGAUUCCCCCUCCCGCGGCCACCCAUCCUUCCCCGUCCACGGCCAUAACCUCUUCCUCCUGGACCUCCACCCCUGCCUCCCACUCCUGUCAUGUCAAAAGCAAAAGGACGCGUAUGUCAUUGAUAGCAGACUUUUUUAUGGAUCAAAUUUACUGAAGGUCCAAGUUCGUGAAGGAUUCAAUACAAAGGAAACACCGUGGAAUGACAAUGUGCCUCCCCCUAUGCAUGUGUAUGUAAUACAUAAAAAGCUAGCAGCACAUAGAAGGUAAAAUAAGCUGGCCUCAUAAAAGCUUAACAAAUAUCUCCAAGUGGAGUGACUAGUUUGAUCCCCAUAGGCUUUUAUUAUCUAGUUGAGCAUAUUAUUUUUCCCAGGUGUCUUCGACGCCCAACAACCAGAUGGAUGGCUCAACUUGAGCCAGCUCAGGCAUCUGGCUGGCGCGCGCACACACAAUAAGGCACACCCAUCUUGUACUACCACCUGGUUGGACAGCUAGAACCCACCCUACUCAACGAUAACAGAGGUACCUUUCUCUUCAACCCAUCUGGUUUCAUAGAGUAAGAAAAAUCUAAACUGGUCCAUCUCCAAUAUAUAAUCAGGCAAAAACCUAAACUACUCCCGCUCUGCAUCAUCAUGAUGGUUUCUGCCUUUCUCUCUCUUUCACUGCCCUCUCUGGUAAUUCUUCCAUUCUCUCUAACUUCAAGAUCCCCUACAGACUUUGUGGCUCCUCCCUUGCCCAGGUAUAAAAGAUAGAAUGAAAUCAUCCCCCCUCUCAUAGACCAGUGGCUCAAGGAUGCUCAUGUCUUGGAUAAUUUCAAGAAGACACAUUGACCACCAUUGACGGUUUUACAUAAUCUAAGGAAAACAUGGCAAUCAUUUGUAUUUACUAUUUUUUCUGAAAAUAUAAGAUAAUGGAAUAGGAAUAGUAAAAGAAUCAGAAAAGAAACAUAAGAGUGGGAGUUUUGAUUUCUUUAUCUGCUUGUCAAGGAUUGGGAGAAGAGAAGAGAGGGUGGCGGUCAGUGCAAACCACAAGAGAGCCCAGACUGUAUAAAGGACAAAGGAAAAUCUUUUUCUCAAACAAAAGAAUCCAUCCAACUCAUUUGAACCACAGCUUGUUGUAUGGGAAAUAGGACAAAAAAUAUGAAAUCAAAAGCCAUCAUAUUCAUCCCUAAUUCUGUCUCUGAAUUAGAAACCUCCAAAAACUCUCCCUCUUCUAUUCCCUCCCUUCUUAAAAAGACAUCACACACAUCCUCAAUCUCAAAUCACCACUCAUGAAUUGACUUCCUCCAAAAACUCUCCCUCUUCCUCUUCCUUUUUUUCUGUUUUUCCCCUUUUUAUCUAGGACUUGUUUGUAUUAAUCUUGAGAAAGAAAAAGAAAUAGAGAGGGUUUAGCAUUGGGGAAGCCAAGAUGGAAGAUGAAGGAAUCGCAAUAAGUGCAAAGCCAGACCAGUUUAUGAAAGCUGGGCAGCUCAAACAGAAAAAGAUCCAACAUUAACUUAACUCAGAUCCGAUCUGCCUGGCAGCUUGGGAUUUGGCACCCUACAAGGUGGGUGUGUGGGUGUGAGUGUGGGUGCGUGAGCAUCGCCCACACACUUGAAAACCACUCAAGCUUAAAUUAGAUGACCAUCUAUUUGUGGCAUGCAAGUAAUUCAUAUCUUAUACUCCUACUUUGACUCAGAAAGUCUCAGCAAAAUCAUGAGGUAGAUAGUCAUUAGGUAUGUAAUUUAAUGUGAUUUAGAUGCUACAUCUGGCUUCACAGAAUCACAAAGAUAAAAUUACACAUGCAUAGCAUCUAUGAGGUGUGUAAUUUAAUGUGAUUCAGAUGAAAUCCACAGUACAAAAGAUUAUAUUUGGUAUCAUAUGUACUGCAAUACACCCCCAUAUCAACUAAUGGUUUGCCAAUACAGGGCAGUACACGAUUAUACACACCAUGUUAUGGCACGGUAUAUAUCAUGGUAUGGUUGGUUUUUCAACCCUUAAUCAUAAAUACACAGUGGAACCAAUUGCAGCUUUAACGGUUGCGGGUUAUGAAGGAGAAAUUCAAACCCUCAAAUGUGAACUACAAUGCCUAAAAGGCCUAUCAAAAACUCAAUAUUUUGGACACUCUGCUUAUGCAUCAAGUCAUGCCAAAUUUAUAGUCUUAAUGGCAAAACAGUGUUUUGAUUUUAGGGAGACUUGAUGCAUAGGCAAAAGGUUUUCAAAGCACAUGAUUCUUUGUUUAUAGAGCAUCAUGGGCCUUACAAAUCAUAUAAAAUAGUUUAGAUUUCCAUUUUGUAAGCCCAAUAAUUGGUUUUCACAAUGGAUGAAAAGGCCUUCUUCCCACCCUAUCUCCAUAGACAGAAGUACAUGCAUGAGACAAAUAUGUACACAUACUCAAAUGCCCGCCUACCCACACAAUAAAAUUUAUGUUCGUGUGUUGUCCACAUCUGUGCAUGCAUCAAGCCCAAGACCACAAAACAAGGGCAAUGGUCACCCAACUCAAAUCUAUUUUGGGACAAAAUCUGAGACUACUGAUGCAAAGCUCAGAUCAGAUAAGUCUUAAGCACAUGACAAUUUAGGUACAGCCCACCAUGGCUCAAGCCAGCCUGAGCUCAAUACCAUUCCUAGACAGAAUCCAACUCAUUCGGGCAGACCUUAUUAACAGAGUUGCAAGAUCAUACAUCUAAAAUUGAGAAAACAGGGUAAGAGUGCCUGAAUUAAUUUGGAGUCAGAGACAUUCACAAGUUAUGACCAAUGUGACAUUAGAUCAACAUUGAUUUUGAACUCGCUAAAUGUCAAUUUCGUGAAAGCACUGUGAAUGUUGCAGAGACUAUAACCAGAGAUAUGCAUUUAUCUCAAAUUCAUUAGCCGAAUUUAUCCAAGUGCAUAGGUAAUACCUUAAAAUCAUGUAAAAUAGCAAUGCAAGGCAUAGAAAUGAUUAUUGAAGGCUUACCACGAUAGCCCCAACCACCUCUACCUCGCCCACCACCCCGGCCCCAGUUCCAGUUAUAUCCACCAUUUUCUACCAUGAACAGAAAAUUCAACGACCAUUAACAAAAAAGAACUCAGAAAAUAAAGGUGAAAUCUAGACUCAAAGAAUGUCAGUUUAAUGAUGUUUCUUGUGAGAGAACUCUGCCCUAUUCUGGCUUCCAAUCAAUUAGUUCAAUUUCUGGCUAGAAGUUAUAUUAGCUUAAACUAAGCUGCACCCUAUAGGCCAGCCAAGGAAGCCACCUGAUCAAGCAUCUGACAAAUACAUGUUAAUUAAGAAUUUUGCGUACCUCGAUUGUUGCCAUAUCCACCGUAUCCACCAUUGUUGUUGCCAUAUCCACCGUAUCCCCCAUUGCUGUUGCCAUAUCCACCGUAUCCACCAUUGCUGUUUCCAUAUCCACCGUAUCCACCAUUGCUGUUGCCAUAUCCACCGUAUCCACCUGGAUUGUUGCCAUAUCCGCCAUAUCCACCAUAUCCUCCUCUACCCCAACCCCUUCCUCUUCCUCUACCUCGACCGCGUGCACGUCCAUAUGAAUCUUUAUCAAGUAGAAAAUUAUCAGUGGUUUCAAUCAUCAAAAGUCCUAUCAAUAACAGAUUGUACCUUCAUUAAGUUGACCUUGUGCUUGUCUAGGUUGAUAUUGCUGCUGUUGUUGAUACUGCUGUGGCUGCUGGAAUUUUUGCUGUUGUUUUGGCUGCUCUGCAUGUAAUGGAGCUUGAUACCUACCAAACAAAGGCGACAAAAAUCAAAACAGCAUUAAAAUAACAUGGAUGACACCUACUAAGUAGAUUGGCAAUUACAUAUCAGCUCCACAGAAAAAAUAUCACAUAAAUUACCCAGGGGAGUUCUUGUUGAGCUCUCUGGUUGACAGAGAUAUUGAUAUCAUGGAAACAUGGCGCGUCAUCUCCAAUCUGCAACAAGGUAUAUACUGUAAAAUAUAUCACCAACGUCUAUUCAAGUCUGUAAUUACUUAUAUAGUGUGAGCAAUAAGAAACUUAACGGUACAAGGCCCUCCUCAAUUGGUUCCCAUACAUCAGUGAUACUGACUGAACUGAUAGCCGUAUCUUGAUGUAACCCAGGAAUCCUUUUCUGCAUUCAAAAUAAAUGGGUGAAGAAGCUUUCAGGCAUAAAAGCAGACAAAAUAGCAUAUGGAGAACUGAAAAUCAACCUUUAUAAUCUCUGCAAUGGCCACAGUCUUGCUGAUUGCCUGUCCCAUAGCCUUCAAGACAAUCUCUCUGACCCUUUUUUCCUGAUCAAAACAACAUCCCCAAAAUAACAAACAUAAAAUUAGUUUCUGAAUACCACCAAAGCCUGCAUACACAUUAUCAGUACAUACAAAGACAUCCAUGGAAAAUAAUUACAAGAUCUCAUUCAGUGAAAAAAAGAAAAAAGAAAUUAUUAGUAGGCGAAGAAAUAAAAGAGCAGAAUUUUUCUGCAUUAUAUUUUUUAGAUAGAUAAAAGAAAGUACCUCUCCUUGAACAAGAAAUGAUAGUUUUGGCUUUCAUGAGCAAGGCUUUCAUGGACUCAUGAUUAUAAUAUGAUAUCAAAAUCGCAUGAAACAAGAUUAACAGAACUUAAUCAUUAGCAAUUUCUGCAAAGCAACAAGUUUUUGCCAGAAAAGAAUAAAAUUUUCACUAGUCAACCUUCAAUUAACUCCAAUACAUAGUCGAAACUAUAAAAAUAAAAAAAAUCCAAAAACACUCAGAGAAAAACUAAAAAUUAACGGAAGAUUAAUAAGUCUUAGCAUCACAGCAAGAUUAUGCAAGGCCCAAUUACCCCACACAAUAGAGUCCCUGGCAAGUUCAACCAAGAAACUUCAAUUGAAGGCCAACGAAUGUCUCAGAGAAAACCCAUUCUGUACCCACUCUCUACAUUAUUUUGCCUUGUUAGACAUCACUUCCAGUUUGCAGUUUUCAAUUUUUUCAGACACAGAAAUCAAUUGUUGUCUGGUAACCCAAUUUCUAUUUUCAAUUUUUUGAAAACUCUUAGUUUCUAGAAAUUAUGGAAACAAAAAAAAAUGUUUUGAAAACCAAAGCGACCCACAGCCACACGCCAGCCAUCAACCAAUACAAGCCGGCACUGCUGCCAUAAACUUAACCUGACUACCAAACAAGUUUUGGGUUUUCAAUUUUCAGAAAAAUAAACUUGGAAUUGGUUUUAUUUUUUUAAUAAAAUGAAAACUGAAACAAAAAGUGAUGACAAACGCCAUCUUAAAAAAAAAUAAGACCGUGUUCUAAAUGAAAUAAUAAUCUAGAUUCAAAUAUCUGAUGCUAAUAUAGAUUUCAUAGAACGUCUAAUUAUUUCGCUGUACAACUUUCUUUAUGGAAGAAGGCAGCAAUUCCUUUUUUCCAAUAUUACACAUUAGAAAUAGCUAAAGAUAAAAUCUUUCAAAUAUUUAUUUCAUUUCUAUGUCGUGUUUCAGAUUGAGUCGAGAAGGGUUUCAACACUUUAACAGACAACCCAAUUCAUCGAUUUGAAGUUCAAACUGACUAAUUAUAACCAAGGCUUACCAUCUUGGUUCUAGACCCCAUUCCGAUACCAUGCUGGUACAGUGUUGGUACGCCUAAUAUGGGGUUGGUUCGGUAUAUGGAGACUCAGUACACCCCAUGUUCCGAAUCUUAAUUUGGUACCAAUAUUGAUACUAUUACGGUAUGCCCAGUAUGGCGCAAUGCGCACUGUUAGAGCAAACCUUGAUUAUAAGCUAUAGAAGUAUAAGAAUCAUUUGAUCAUAAGCAGACUCCAGCUAGUACCAUAAAGAACCAAAUAUAUCAAAAUAAAUGCUCAAACAUAAUUGGCUCCUCGUGUCUUAACUUCCUCUCUUUCGUCAUGAAUCAUGGCAUUUUCAUGUUAGCCUUAUGGUCUUGACAAGAAAUACUUAUGACUACUAAAUAAGAACCAGCACACGGCCCUUACAUAUAAUGCCAAAACUAGAUUCAACAGUGCUUAGAAACCAAAAUCCAAAAAUUGGAACACCACAUAAUUCGAUUUUGUAUAAAAUAAGGCAAUUUUAAUAAUAUUGUAAGAAAAGGCAAAUAGUAGCACAUUCACAUGCUUCCCAUUUUUAUAUAGAAUGAACGAUUGCACUUAUAAAAUGGAUUGAUCAGAAAAUGGAUUGCCAUUUGUUUAUUUUGUCAAGAUCCAUUGGUCCUAGCAGCGAGCAAUAGUACGUAGAUUUCACCAAACAUGACUUUCAGCCUCUUAGGCUAUGUUUGGUUGCAGGGUAGCAAACCCUGGAUUAGCUAUCCCUGACCUGCAAAUGUUCCAGUAUUCCUUUUGCCCUGGAUUAAUGAAAAACCCCAAUUUUGUUGAGGCUCUCUAGCUUCCUGGAUUAGAUGAGGAAAGAGGUGAAGAAGAGAGAAGAGAUGGGUUAAAAGUAGGGUUAAUAGUAUUUCACCACCAGUGUGACAUUAACCUGCUAAGUGAGUUUCUACCACUGACUGACUAAAUUUAACAUGGGAAAAAAGAGGCCAUGUUUGGGUGGUAAGCAGCAUAAUUCACCUCUAACCUACAAUCAGACACUGCCUUGACAAUACAUUUUCCUUUCAGAUUCCAGUCAAUUUAUUUUAGUUUGACAGAAGAUAUAAGAUCCAGAACAAUCUAAAAGUAUUUCGAUGCAUUGAACUUGGUUGUAAGCAAAAUAUAUAGUAUCUUCCAUGGAACCUGACCAGAAUCAGACACUCAACAACGUUGUUCAUUAAAUGUUUCAAUUUAACAAAUUGUUUUCAGUUCCUUGGUUAGCUGACACAUAGUCCAAAACAAGAAUUAUGAACCAUGUAUUCACAAACGUAUGUCUUUCACCAUAAACUUUCUAGCAUCUCAAAUUAGCUAGCAUGUCGAAAACUGUCCAAGGUCGAGUUCUUAUAUGUGCUAAAUAGACAAAGGUUAAGUUGAAUAGACAUCACAGAAGAAACUGCAGGGAGGGAAUAAUGAUGUUGAAAAAAGCAGUCAAAAAUCAAGUGUAGAGAAAGAUGAUGCAAUUUGUCUUCUAUGCUGUGUGGGCAGCAGUAGAUGCAAAAAUAGUUGAUUGAAAUUCUCUUCUGAUGAGAGACCUGGAAAAAUAUAGCUGCCUUCAAUAACUCUUUGGCAAGGUCUAAAAAUAACAAGUAUAAGAUGGUUGAGGAACGGAUUACAUUGCGUGCUGUAUCAACAAAAAGUAUACACCAGUACAUUUUGACAAGGACCAUAUGCCUUUAGUACUAUCAAUUUUGGUCUCCAUUUUUUAUGCAUUUUUCUUAUGAAUUUCCUUGAUCAGAUAAGAGUAUCCAUUUGAGUGUCUUAGUCAUCCAAUUUGAUGUCAUCUGAAGUUUUUGAAAUAGGUUAUGAAGUUUACAACAAUAACAAUCAUAUUCAAUCAUGAAUCUUGCUAAUAGCUCUUAACUUACAAUUAUUACAAUCAGUUUGAUUAUCGAGUAAAUAUAUAUCAACAAAUUAUCUAAUUCUUGUGUGUACAUAAUUAAAGACAUACAAACUACAUGAUAAAGGACGAAAUUCAUUUUCAAACUAUAGUUUAUGUGCAUAGACUACAUAAUAAUAGAGAUAUUCAGGAGCCAUUGAUUUAGGUAAAAGAAUUUUUAUUUAUAUAUCUAACAGUUCACUAAUGAUAUAAAAAUAUGUUAUCUUAAAUAAACAUCAAUUAUGUUUAGUAGAUCGUGUAGUUUCUUAAUAAUUAUCAGAACAAGUUCUGCCAUAUUAUAUUAUCUAUAAUCCAAUUUAUGUUCUUUCAAUAAAUUCCUAAAUUUUUUCAACCUAGGUCUUUUUGAGACAAUCAUGUAAGCUAGGAGAAUGAUUUUUAUGUUAAUUUUGACAAUUAAGAUUUCAUAUCCUAUUAUUUGCCUAAUUAGUAAAAGAAUAACUAGCCUUACAAUUAAGCAUUUGUGUACAAAUGCUUAUCGACAUCAAAUCAUUGUAGUAGUUUAUUCAUUCUUUUUGGAUAUUUUUGAAGCAAAAUACCCAAUUAAAGUUCAUCCCAAGUAGCCAUGGCCGGUACUGCUUGAUUUGGUGCAGUUCAAAGCUGAUUCAGGCCCAAUCUGCCCAAUACAAAGCCGAUUAGGGUGGUACAUGGCUCAGUUUGGCAUAUCCCUGAGCAUACCAGGCCCUGCCUUAUUGGCUUCCUUACCAACUUAAGUCCAGUAUGGUAGGUACCGGCCAGUAAGGAGCCACUAUACUCAACUUUUCAAACCUUGCUCUUUAUCAAGCCAAACUGUAAUGAAAUCCAUGUACAAGGCUAUUGUUUAAUAAAGCUUUUUGAUAAGUUACAAGGCACAGCAAAAGUUACAGAAAAUGGCAACAACAAAUGUUAAUAUAGUAAUCAAUUCUGUUGUUCUAUGCAAGGUCAAUGAUAGAUAUCAUCUUGAUGCUUAUGCAAUUAGUGGAAAGAUAUAAAGAAAUGUUAACAAGAAUGCAGAUGAUCUUGCACACCAACAAAGAUGACAGAAAUGAUAAUGUUGAGAUGUAUGUGUAGCAAAUAACCAAAAUAAGUUGAAGAAUAAGCAUAUAUCUUGAGGUAUAGGAGUUACAUCAACUGAGAACUAACUAAUUGAGAUAGUAUGUGUGUAUGCAGCAAAUGUUUCAAAAGGUUUUCAUAAAGAGAGGUACUCAAACCCAUUCCAAGGGUCUACAAACAGGGUAAAACCUAAGCAAUCAUCUAAGAACAUGAGGACCAUAAACCUUAUAAAUAAUACAAAGGCAACCGUUAAUGGGAAUAAACCUUAACAGAUUAUGGUUUAUAAAGCCAACUCCAUGUAGUUGGCCAAGACUUGAUAGGUAUUACAGUUUGUACUACAAUUUAUGUGCACAAGCAAAUCCUCUCAGAAUAAUUCAAACCCAAAAUUUACCAUGCAAAACACAAUAUGGAUCAUCUAACCUGAAAAGUUACAUUGCUGGUCAUGAUCUAUUUUUUAAAAAAGCUUAAAAAUCCAAAAGUCAAAUAUUUGGGAGCUCCAAACCUAUGAACAAUUUGGGUACAAGAUGAAUGAUAUCAUAGAACUAAUGUACAAAAAUAACAAUUAACUACAUAUGUUUAAAACCCACAGCAAAGCUCAGAAUCCCUGCAUCUAAAAACAAGCAUAAGCUAAAGAUUACCAAGGUUGGAUAUUUCUAAACCAUAAUUUAGGUACCUCGCUACUGGAAGGAAAAAAAAAGAGAGGUCCUUUAUUCCAUGUACGAUGAAGAUCUAAGGGGGCGGAAAGGUAUUUUAAUGGGUUGAAGGUUGCAGGAAAAAGAAGGGAAGACCUAGCGUAACCUGGAUGAAGGUUGUGAGGAAAGGCAUGGAGAAGCUUGGAGUGAAAUCUCAGGUGGCCUUAGAUCAAAAUACUUGGUGAAUGAGACUCCAGAAAGCUGGAGCUAAAUAGCUGGGAAAAGACAGGAUGGAUAUCAUUACAAUUUACGGCUGAAACUAUACAUUUUCUAAACAUUUAUUACACAUGUCAGAAAUUUCUAAAUAGUAUAUUUUGGGUUUUCAGGCAUUUUAGACAUUGUAAAUCAAGAUCAAUGAUGUAAUCUGAAUUCUAAAAAUGCAUUAUGCAUUUUCAAUAUAUUGGGUUCAUGCUUAAAAUAAGAUUUGAGCCCAAAUAGUCAAAAUCACAAAAGAAAUGGAUCAUUAGCAGCAUCAAUAAUGCAUAAAACUAAGAACCAUAAUGAUGAUUCAUAUCACCCUCACUGUUAAUACGGACAACAACACUUAUAAUGACUUAAAAAAAACAAAAAUUUACCUAUCAUCUAUGCUUCAAGCACUCACAAACUGAAUUACCUUUAUUAAUUAAAUGAAGGUUUUGAUUUGGUUUAUGUUAAAGGUAUCCAGAUUUGCUUAAUAUUGGUCACAUGAUUCAAGAUGGCAAUCAUGAUCAACAUGUUAAUUUUUAGGUUCUCGCAGUUUCAUUAAAAUUUGAGGGAACAGUCAUUUCUUGCCUAAAUCCUCUAAUCCUCAGUUGACUUUGUGCACAUAUACAAAUUCAAUUAGACACUCAUUGACUUGUAUUGUUUUAAAAAAUAUAGAGAAAAAUGAAUAGAGGAUUGAUCUUGGUUCGCCCUCAUGAUGGGUAAUGUUGAAAAUGACAAUUAAGGUUUAAAUGGACAUACAGUGAUAGAAACUUGCUCCAACUGUCAUACACAAAUAAAACACUGGUGUUCAGAAUGAUUUACCUAUACUUUCUAAGUCUUUUGCAUUACACUUUAGCCCAUAACAAAGUAUACUGGGUUUUUCUACUCUUAUACAGCCUAAUAUUGUCAACAUGCAAUACUUUCCUUGCUAUGCCAGCAAGUUAGCAAACGAUAAGUUACAUAGAAUACAAUAAAAUAUUUUUCCAUGCACUGACUCCUAGUAAAUCAUCCUUUUAUUCCCUCAUUUACUUUAUUAAGAUAACUCUCAUUUUAGAACCAAGCCUGCAUAAAUCUACAACAUAGAUUUAACCUUGUAAAAACAUUCUUCAUCUCAGUUCAAUCUGAGACUUUCUCCACUUUCUUCUAGCUUAAUAAAACUCACAUCCUCAUGCUUUGAUUUAAAACCUAGGAUUUAGUUACCAACUAUAUUCACCACAUGUUUCCAACAAAAAAAUAACAAAUCCCUUUCACACUCCUAAUAUUGCACAUGAAACCUAAUUUUUUCAAACCCAAGAAUAACAAUUGAUGUAUUUCUUGUUCCUUUGCCUUCUAUCCAAAUAUAAUAAUGCACAAAUUCAUAGAAAGCAGGCUGAUCUUCCCCUAGGAUACCUAAGUUUUCACUACUUGUGACCAUCUAUUACGCUCAGAAUCAACCACUAGACUUAAGGUUUGAAGUCAACUCCUAUGAAGUAAUUCAAUUAAGCCAGCAAGUCUCAAAGAUCCCAUACAAGGUCCAAAUUCCAUGUCGACAGGUCUUGUCCUAUCUCAAAUUUCUUCCUUGGUCACUUAGGCUGCAUUUGACUGUGGCAAAACCCAAAGUAAAUAGGUUAACUUGCUCCUAACUCAUUUUACACCAGAAUAAACUACUCCGUCCUCCAGGAUAGAAUAGUUUACUCAAGAUUCAAUGGAAAAGGUACAGGCACUUUGCCCUCAAAAUAUUUAGUUAGUUUUCUAAAGUUUGGUGGUUUAAAGUGGAACAAAUGGGUUGAAAGGGGCCUUUAUAUCCCUCCUCAUUUAAAUCCAAAUCAAAUACCACCUUAAGAUAUCAAAAAUUUAUAUUUAGGGGUGAAAAACAUCUAUGCAGCUAUGCAGCUCAUUACAAAUAGAAUGUAGAUCUCUCUACUUUGAAAACUUAUUCCAAUUUACAGUACUUAUUCUACUUUUUUUGGUUCCUCUCUUUCUUCAAUCAAUUAAUACCAACGGCCUCCAAAUUCAAAUGUUAAGCAUAGGGAGAUAUGCACCAUGAUUGUGACUCAUAUAAUAUAAAUCCUAAAGAAGAUAAGCAUAACAAACAUUAAACAUAGUACAUAUUAGUCUCAAACCAUCAAUAGUCUUCAAUCCAUCAAGAGAUUCUAGACAAUCCAAAUACAAAAUCAUAAAGAAAUAAGACAAAUAAUAUCUAUUCAGGAACUACACUAUGAAAUUUUGUUUUCAUUGAACACUACUAAAAAUUACACCCAUCAACAUAAGCCUUUAACACAACCAUCACAAUAGGUAAAAUCUUCACCAUCGAUUGCAAAGUGUUACCAAUACACUUCAAAAUCUCAGUUUGUGUUGUGUUCAGACAUCCUGGAUACUUCAUGACAUCCUUGACACUCCAAAACAUUGAAUCAUGAUGUCAUCAUAGUUACAUAUCAACUUUUAGCACUUAUACCUAGAAAUUUUCAAGUCUAAUAUUAAGUUUAGCAAAAACUUUUGUGAAUUUCAUCAUAUUACAAAGAAAUUUCAUCAUAUUACAAAGAAAUUGAUCAAAAAAACUAUUCAUUAUAUACAUAUGUUUAAACAUAUAAUAAGGACACGUCUAUGUAACAUGGGCAUGUUCCCCAUACCCAAUCUUUUGAAAGAUCUUGUAUCUAACACUCCUAAACACUUGCGCCGCACUUGACACCAGUGUCACAUGUCCAUGUAACAUUGCUGUAAAACUUACGAAUUGUACGAGUCUUCUUCAUCAAUUGACCCUCUCAACCUAUCUAAUGUCACUUAAGUCCUCCUUCUUAAUGGGCUUAGUGCAGCAAAUCCAGAUGGACUACAAAUUUGCAAUAUAUACCCAUUUCAGAAACCAUAAUGAAUAGAGAAAUUUCAGGAUGCAACUAUAUGAGGUACGAUCAAAGAAAUUCAAUACAUGGAAUUGCAAUUAGGAGACUCCACAACAAUACAAAGGACAAGUAGAACAAAGUAGGAUAAGAUGAUAUCGUGAUGGCACUAGAUCCUAAACAAUGCCAUGCCAGUAAGAUGCUAUUAGUAUUUCCAUAUCAUCACAAGACUAGAUCCUUGCAAUGCCACAUUAGUGAGAUGCUUCUACUCCCUAUCAGUUAAAAUAAAACCUGAUAAUUCAUGGAGAUAUAAAAUGGCAUCAUAAAACAAGCUUUAAAUAUUUUUGUAGUCUAAAAUUGAUAUGAAACUAAACUUUGUUAUGCAAGUGAAGAUUAUGGGACAUUUCAAGCAAAUAAAAACAUGUCCUCCCAGGAAAUGCUCAAAAUAAGUUUUUAAAACAGUAAAUGGAAAAGGUGUGAGAAAACGCAGCAAACACUCCUUGUGUCAUCAGUGGCAAACGAAAACAGUAGAUUCAUCACUAAGAAACCCCAAAUUAUGCAUGAAAGAGAAAUUUCUACUUUCAUUAAGGAACUUUGUAAUGCAAUAGAUGGAUAAGUUUAUGACAUACUCAUAUAACUGGCAUAUAUAACUUUUCUUUGAAAAAAAAUCUCAAAGCUUGAUUUGCCAUUCAACAAAAUUUGAAAAGAUACACUAGCAAUGCUCAUUUUCUAAUGAACAUCAUAAAUCCCAACUGGGGCAGCUAAUUUUAUUAUGAUGCACCGCAUAGGCAGAACCUAUCUAUAGACUUUCAUAGGUUGCGCGUAACUUCAAGCAGGUGAAUUAUACCUGAUCAAAUCAGUUGCAUACUUUUAUGAAGACAGGGCAUCAAAAGAAAUAGACAAACCUACUGGUCAAAAAAGAACUCCAAACAACAAAUAUCAACAAAUUUAACGCUGUACAAUUUUUAAUUAACAUAACCGUCAAUAUAAUAUUAGUUGAGAAACAUUAGAAUUGUGAAAUAUCUCCUGAGAAGCGAAUGGGCAGAAAGGGGGGGAACCAACAUAAAUAAUAUGAUCCAAACAACCUUACCCACCAGAAACAAAUGAAAAAAGCAACGACCGAAGUCUAUAAAAUGAUAGCAUGCUCUAACUAAAAAAAAGUACAGCAGCUCAUGAGAGAAAUAAAAAGGGUAGAC
rnacentral:lncRNA from 1 species